rnacentral:lncRNA from 1 species
UUUUAUAAUUUUAAAAAUUAUUAUAUUAUUUAACUUACAUUGUUUACAUAUUUAUUACAAUGAAAAUAAAUGAUGAGUUAAAUAUUUAUGUUUAUUUAAAGGUAUCACUAAAGUAAUCGAAAGUUUGAAAAAAAAAAUAGAUAACUUUAUAUAUGAUUUUGCAACAAUUUUUAACAGAAAGUGUAAGUGGCCUAAUGGUUAUCACUUUAGUGGCCUAAUGGUUAUCACUUUACUUGUUCACCUUGGAGACCCAAGCUGGAGCCUAACCAUUGCAAUAGGAUAUUUUUGGCAUUUCUCUAACUAUCUCAUCUCACAUUGAAAACCAAGGACAAUGUGGAGGUCUAAAUCUCAAGACAUUCCUCUUAUCAUACAAGGCACUCGACCACUAAGAAGGUAGCCAAUGGUUUGGGCCUCACUAAAACCCCUCCUUUUGAACUAAAUUUUAGCUCAAUUGAUUUCCUAAAAGUCAUCUAGCACAUCCUGGGUUUAAUCGUCAAGUUGGUCAAUUCAAUACUGGUUCAAUACAAAACCAAGCCAAUUAAUGACUCAAACCAAAAAGUGGUCCAAUCGGCGGUUGAACCAGUCCAACCUACCAGUCCGAUCCAAGUUUAAAACAUUGCAAAAAACAAAUAAAAAAAUAAAAAAAAUACUCCCUCCUUUAAUCAAAUCCCCAUCACAUUAUUACCCAAUUUUCCUUUUUUUUUAUAGGUAAAUUUUUGUCCCCAUAAGACUUGAACCUGGAACCUCCCACAAACCCUCCCCGUCCCUUCACCACUUGAACCAAGCCUCAAGGGCACCCAACUUUACAAAUUUUACCCCAUAUAUAUUGUUUUUUUAUGUAUUAUCACUUCAACAUGUGUAAUAUUAUUUGUUUUAUCAUUUCUGUUUUUUCCAACAUUCUGUAAGAAGUAAUAGAAUCCUCAUACACACGCAUGCACGCACACAUGCAUAUAAGAGAGGAGAACAAAAAUUCAAUGGCGCACAACAUAUUAAUCAUUAGGAUGAAAAGCCAACUCAAUGAUUCAGCGUCAAAUGGACCAAGACAUGGUCUAAGGAGCCAUAUACAAGCUUCAUUAAACCAGUAAAACUUGGUAAGAACUAAGAACUAACAGAAAUUUCCCGAAAAGUAAAGGAAGAAAAAGGUUUUGUGAGAGUUUAUUGUAUUUUAUUUAUUUAUAUAUUGGUUUGAUCUUGCCAAUCUAAAAUUAUCUCUAUGAUCAAUCAAUCCCUUGAUACCUAGUUAGAAGUAGAACUUGUGAGAUCAGGAAGGAGAAGGAAAAAAAAAUAGUAUGGAAAUGAUUUAGUUUUGUCUAAAUAGACUUCCCUAUACAUCUCAUAUAUUUGUGGUAUUAACCACGACUACAAUAAUACCCCCGAAAACCAAUGAAUAAAAUAACUCUUGACAUAAGAAAAAAUAACAAAAAAAAAAAUCAACUCAACAGUUUCAUCACCCAUUCUUUGCAACCAUAAUUUUAUUAUGAAGUUGUACAUACUAAUAGCAGUAAAAGAUUAUUCUGGCUGAUUAAUCAACUCACUGACAGUGACAUGCCAACUGAGAAAGAAGGGGAAAAAAUUACCUUAGAGGGCAUUUGAUUUCCCCUAGAAACUUAAAAGAAGAGAAUAAAUGAAAAUAAUGAAAACGCAAUGAGAUAAAACAAAUACUCGAUAUAGAAGAUCCUCAGACACAUCCACAAAACAGCAGCUAUGCAACACCAUUAGCUCCAUAAGGUUCAUUCACAUUGAAAUCACACUCUUAAGAAUUUAAUAAUUUUCAUCAAUCUUUGCUCUGAAAAAGCUUCCUUCAAGCCAGCUUAAUUGCCUUUGCAAACUAAUAUUUACUACAACUGCCUACAGUAAGACGCAUAUACAUCAUCCCUUUAACAUGAGCCUUUAAUGAGCUUUAAAACCAAAAGCAAAUAGCUGGAAAUAAUCAGAAUGACGAUAACUCUAUCUCAAAAGUAUGCAUGGAAACACACUGAAUUACAUUUCAAUAUUAAUUAGAUUCCCAAAUAAUUCCACAUAAGUUUUAGCAUUUUCUAAAAGGAGGUUGGAGGGGUGCAUACUUCUAACUAAUGCAUAUGAAAAAAAAUCAUAUACUCAAUCCCAAGAAAUCCACGCAAAACGAACAAUUGUCAAAAUCAAAGAACCAUAACUAGUUGUUGCUUUCGCAUAGCACAAAUUUAUAGAUGCUAAAAACUACUGCUACAUUGAAAUAAAUAAGGAAUAAUACCUUGCAAAUGUUGCCGGAUGAAAACCACCAACAGCAGCAAAGUGAAAGGAAGCACCUGCUCAAUCCACCUGGCAGCCUGCUGAAUAUCGUAUCUCUGAUAAGACGAAUCCCUCCCAUUGGCCCCAGCCCCAUCAGCAGCUUCCCCAUCCCCAUUCCCAUUUCCCGAUUGAGAGAUGCCCUCUCCCGCCCUAGACUCCCCCUGACCCUGACCAUGACCCUCCAAUGUCACCGUCCCCGACCCCUGCCCCGCAAUCUGCUGUACAGAAGCCUCAUUAUCCCGCACUGGACCAACCGCCAACGAUGCCAAUCCAGCCCCCACCCUCUCAUUUUCUUGCUCGCCUGCACCAAUUAUCCUAAUUGAUACCUCCCCACCAUUGCUCACUGGCGCUGACUCCUCUACCCGAUCCCGAAAACCACUUCCAUAGAUCAAACUCUCCGUUUCUUGAUGGCUUGAGCGGCCACGCAGCAGACCUGAAUACUCCAACAACGCCGACAAUGGCGCCUGUAUGAUAUUCGAAGCCGAUAGCUGCAUACCGUAUCUUCUCGAAUUACCAUUCCCUAUCUCCGAAGACCCCCUGUAAUUUCCACCGGGAGCUUCCAUUUGCACUAAUGCCUUAACCCUACCCCACCGAGAAUCAACCAACAAAACCCUAAUCUCAAAUUCCUUAAUCCCUAAGAACAAUAGAAACCCAUUUGAGAAAACACAAAUGGGUCAUCCAAAAUCUCACGAAUCUCCGUCCAAGCCCUCCAAAUCAGGACCGAUUAUUCAUCCUAGAAAAACCCUAAACACCCCUAAAAUCAUCAAACCCACGAACCGAUUGCGGAAAAGUCAAUACAGAGAGUCGCAUUAGAACCAAAACAAAACCCCUUGUCGCUGUUCUUCAAAUUACUCAUCCCACCAAAACCCCAAACCGAUCCACUAUUUCAGAACCCCACGCUCACGACGACCCUGUCCAAAACGCGUCGUUCCGAGAACCUUUUACCAAAUCAACAACUCCAAGAAACAGAAGAAAAAGAAGAAGAAGAAGAAGAAAGCAGCUGCGCCCCACUUCCUUCCCGGCCCCAAAUCAAUCGAUCAAUUCAUCCGGGAUGGACUGAGGGACAGCAAUUGAACCCUGGGGCCGAUCAAAACGCGUCGUUUGGGGGAAUUCCUGGGUGACCAAAACGCGUCGUUUAGGGGAUUCCAGUCCAAAAAUCAAUGACAGGAGAAGAAAAAGAGAGAAAGAGUCAUAAAUAGAGAAAUGGGAUGGUUGGGAAUGAGAGUGUCGUCUGCAGAGCUCUCACAGCCUCCCUUUUACUUUUUGGCGUAUUGCUUUUUCCACUAUCUGACAAACGAUACCCACCAACCACACCCAUAAACACCCAAUAUAUUAUCAUUUACAAUGAUAUAAUUAUUUUUUGGGUCUACCCUCCGAUACAAAAGAGAAGCACCAUCCCCCUCAUUUUUUCUAAUCGAUUUUAGUUUUUAAAUAUUUCUAUUUUUGGAAUUAUGAAAAUAUAGAGAGGGUUUCUGAUUUUAUUUUAUUUUUAGUUAUUUAUAGGACAUAUCAUGUUGUUGAAUGAUUACUCUAGGAGCAAAAUGUCCAAAUAAUAAUUAAAGAAAAGAAAAAAAAUAUUAGAAGUGGAUAAAUAUCCUUUCAUGACCAGAGUUAUAGAGCAUAGGGGUCACCCACCCCCUCUCUCGAGUUCUUGCAAGAUUCUUCUUCAUAUAAGAAUUUUUUUUUCCUUGUCACAUGAAAAGGGGAAGUUCAAAACUCAAGUGUUGUGAGAUGUAGUUGACAAACAGAGCAUGGCAUAAUUAGCGAAUAGAGUUUCAAAGAUGAAGGGUUCAUCCUGUUUAUGGUGGUUGCAACACAACUACCCCUUUAGAGGAAUGAUAUAUUGUUUUUAGUUUUUACUAUGUGAGAUUAAGAGUGGACUCCUUUGCACUCCAACUAUCAACAUAAGCCCUUGCAUUGUUCUACACUCUCAUGAAGAUGACUUUUUGCUCAUCUUUCUUAAAAAGUAGGAGCAAAAACUCCUCCUAACAAAAAAAUUUAAAAAUAUAUAUAUAUUAGAAAUAGAUAAAUAUACCCUUCAUAACCAAAAUCAUAGAUGAUUAUGAUCAAAUUCUCUUUUAUGUAAUGUGAGCAAAUUUUCCCAUUUCAUUAAGUUUCUCUAAGGAGAACAUGCAUCAUUUCAUUAUAUACCCUUUUUCAAUUACGGUCCUUAUUCAUAUAUAAUGUGUAGUUUCCACUUGAUGAAAACACGGAUGAAGCAUCAAGUUUCUUAGAAUCCUAGCAAUGCACGGGGUGGCAUAGUUGGCAAACACAACAUGGUAUAGUUGGUAAACAUGACAUAGCAUUGCUGGCAAAUACAAUGUACCAUAGUUGGCAAGCACAACGUAACAUAACCAGCCAACACCCUAGUUAUGAUGGUUACCACAAUGACUAUUAGAUUGUUUGCAUCAUAAAAAGCGUGAUAACCAUUAUUCAUGAUUAUGACAAAAAACAAAAACUAGCCUAACGGGUGUGCAAACAAGAUCCAUGUUAUAAAUAUAUAGAAAAGUUAAGUGUGAUGUUUUCUGGUAAGGAUGACACAUAUCGUGCCUAAAGACCAUUUACGAUGAUGCAAUUUUAUAAGGAUGACACUUAUCAUGUCUAAAGUUGUUUAGAAACUAAAUUCAUUUUUAUGUAAUAAUUUGACUAUGAACUCUAUAAAUAGUUGAAUGAAAAGCCAAAAAAUAAAUUUAAAAAAAAAAAAAGAAAGACAAGAUAGUUUUGUCCGAUAGAAAUACUUGUCUCCUUUAUAAUCUUUACUUCUAUUAGUGUAAGGAGAAUUUUUUUGGAUCAUACAAAAGUAGCCAGAAAAGAAAAAUAAAUAAAAAGAAAUUCAAAUUUCUUAUAUAAUUUAAGAAACUAUAAAUAGAAAUUAAGUACAAUAGAAAUUAUUUAAUAAUUUUUAAACUUUUAGGCCUGCAAAAUUUUUUAUUGAAAACAAAUUUUUGAGAAUUUGUAUGACAUUAAGUUACUUAAAAAAAAAUUUGAGGCGUUUUUGUAGUGUUCAUGCUCUAUGAGAAUAAAGCCAAAAAAACUAUUUUUCAUAUUUAAGUUUUUAAACAAAAUUUUAUUUAUAAAAGUAAUUAAAAAAAUUUUUAAAUAUAUUAUUUUUAAUCAUUAUUUUUGAAAACAUUGUCAAAUAGACCAUUAGAUUGAGACAUAAAUUUGGAUAAGCAUGUAAACAAAAUUUAUUGAGUUUAGACCUAUUUUUAUUUUCCUUUGAUUUUUUUUUUCUUUUUUACAAUGGAAAAAAAAAACAAAUAAGUUUAAAUUUAAUAAAUUUUUAUCCAUAUCUAUUUGUCUCAUUUCCUUUCUUGUAUAAAGAAAAAAAAUUUAAAUUAAAUUUAAGUUUUCAAAUAACUUUUAUUAUAUUUUAUCUUCAUUCAUACUCUUCACAACAAACCAAACAAAAUUAUUUGGAUUAGAGUAGUGGAAAGAAUCAAUCCAAUCGACAAAACCAACCAAAUCAACCAAUUUUAAAAUAUUUUUUUAAUAUUUUAGGUUUUCUAUUGUUUCCUAUUUUUUUUAUAUAAAAAAAUUGAUAAUAACCUUAUUGAACCAAAGAUUAUAUAUACACCUACAAUAUAUAAAAACUCUUAAUUACAUUAAUAAUUUGAUGUGCAUAUUUUAUUUCGAAUAGGACCUCAAACCACUCAUCAUACAUAACUUUAUCUAUGAUUGGACUAAUAAUAUUAUUUGAAUUAGGUUACAAUUAUAUGAUUUGAAGGUUCCUAAGCCAACUUGUCAUAAAAGGAUUAUUUAAGUUUUUGAUUCAUGAUGCCCAAUUAUAAGCUUUUUGGUUUUGAUCCAAAUUGACCAUUAUAUAUAUAUAUAUAUAUAUAGUAAGAUCGAAUAGAGCCAAAUCCAAACAAAAUAAACUAAUUUAGGUCAAUUACUGCUCUUAAAAUAAUCGAAUUGAAUCAAUGAAUUUCCCUCUUUUAAGUUCAAUUAAUUUGGUUUUUAAUAUAUGAGCAUUGAUCAAAUUAUGCACAUCUUAAUUUAACUAAAUAUCUAAUGCCGAGUUCAUGAAAAUCUAAAUACUAUAGAUAUUGUGAAAGAAAAUUGAUAAGAUGGAACUUAUCUAAAUUUAUAUAAAUUAAUAAUCGAGAUUAUAUUCAACACUUUGAUGUUACAAAAUUCUCCCCUUGUUUAAUAAAGGUUUACACCCUUUUAACCUUUGUUUGAAGAAGUAAUUUUGGUUAUGAUUUUGAAAAGAAAUAAAAAAAAAUGAUACAAGAUAAAGGAAAUGUAACAGAACAAAUACGAAAGCAAUAAAACAAUCUCAAGCACAUCAAAUUCCCUUUUAUAGAGAAUAAGUAAUUUAAUAAUUUGUAUAAUUAAGGUGUUAGUUGGAUACACUUCUUAUUUUUUGGUAAAAAAACACAGACUUAAAACUGCUAUUUUUUAUUUUUUUUAAAUAGAAAAUAGGAAGUGAACCUAAAUAGAUACUAUUUUAUUAAUUUCUAUUUUUAUCUUUUAUCAUUUUAUAAUUAUUAAUGAAUGCAAAACCACUAAGCCAACGUAGGUAGGCUAUGUCCGAUUCUUACAAAAGUUUGAGGGGAAGAAAAAUGAAAGAAGAAAAAAGAAAAGGACAAGAAAAUUUAUAAAUUUUUUCUUUUAUUUGGUCAUCUUAAGAUUCCAUUAAUAAAAAAAGUCAAUUCCUAUGAACUCAUUGGAAGGUCUCACUUGUACAUCCAAUAUGAAUUGAACCUAUACCUAUAAAUUCAUUAAUUAUAAGUUGGCACUUAAAUCAUUUUGCGAUCGAUAUGCAUGACAAAUAAACAAACCUCAAUUGAAAUGAAACAUUCAGGAUAAAUAAAUGUAAUUUAAGAGCAAUCAAUAAAUAAAAAACAAUUCAAAUCUUAGAUUUUCGAAUUGAAAGUGCUAUUAAUACAAAUCAAAAUUUCUCACCAUUUCUUAUAUUUAUGGACUAACUCAAUUCCACAGAAUCUUUUAUUAACAUUUUUCAUGAGAAAUAUUGAGUCCUUCACUAUAGGAGUCAUUGAGUUCACCAUUGAAGCUUUUCACCAAGAAUGUUUUAUAAAGCUUCGACAACCCUCCCCCAAUGCCCCACUUUCAUGCAAAUCACAAGGUUCAACAAGCAAUCAAUAUUUCAUAAUCAAGGAUGUAGAUCCUACUUGGGUUUCAAAAACUCUCUUUUAUGUUCAUUAAGAGCUUCUAUAUAUGUUAUGAUUAAUUUUAUUUCAAAAUAUUACAGCUUAAAAAGAGUUUUAUAUAAAAAUGAGGAAAAUGUUACUUCUUAUACAAAUUUUAUUUUGACUUUAUCAAGAAGUUCUUUCAUGUUUAAUAAAAUUUUUACCAUAGCAAUAUUACACUUUAAAAAUUCCAACUUUGGCUUGAGCUCCAACUUUUGGCUGAAGUUAUAAACAAAAAGCUAUUUCAAACGAGACCAUAGUAUUGUUUGUAGUAUUUGUUCUUAAAUUAACAUGUUUAGAAUCAAAAUAUGGUUAAUAAAAAAAAACUCUAUUUGAUAGGAUUUUUAUACCUAUAAAUUUCAUUAAACCUAGAAAUGAUACAUUGGAAGAAUCUUUUAAAUCUUUUAGUAUCAAUAGAUUUCGUUUCACUUCGAUAUCUUCCAAAAUGAAAAAGGAUUUCUAAGAAAGAAAGUAUUUGGGUUCUUCCAAUAAGUAAAAAGUGUAUCAUGUCUAAAUCUAACUAGGUUUCGCAAUGGUGAAGGAAUUAGUACAAAAAAAAAACAAAGGAUUCUAAUAUGUAAUGAAACUAUUGCCAAAAUUGAUAUCUCGUUCAAAAAGAAAAAUAUCAAAUAUAGGAAUUUCUUUUUAUAUGUUAUAUGGAUGAUUUGAGCUACAUGGACCAUAAUAAGGAAUUGUUUGAUAGUCUUUCUCCAAGGAAGAGAUGAAACAUAAGCAACAUUAAUUUGAUAUCACUAAUCAAAAUCUUAGUGAAACACUAGGUUUGUUAUCUCAUGUUUACCUUUCGUGGAAAGAUACCAAUUGAAAGUAUAAUUUCUUAAAAUAAAGAGUUGGGCUAACUAUUUAGUCAAAUUAUAUUGAGAAUGGUUAGUAUCUAUUCUCGAGAAACAAGUGGGCUAUUUUUGUGCUCAAUUUCAUGUGACAAUUUCGUCAAAUCUCUUUGCUAGUUAAAGGAAAAUAUACACAAAUUGGAUUUUAUUUAAUAUGAUUUCAUAAGAUCUAGUUUUGUGCAAGUAACAUAUUCUAGUUAAGUGAAAGGAUCUUCUCACCAAUCAAAUAUUAUUUCAUUUUCGUUAAUAACGAGGACUCAAACUAUCAUGCAUUGAUCCAUCCAAAAGAGAUUCAACAACCUUCCUUUCUUUAUGGAAAAAACAAAAAUAUAAUCAAAUCAACUCCUGCAAUGCAUUUUUGGGUAUUCCUUAAUGUACUAAAUAUUCAAAAUAUGCGAAAAAUAGGUGAUUAUUCCAAGAAAAAUUCAAGAACUUCUUAAUGUACUACAUGAUCUAUUUAUUCUUUUCUUUUUUUUGACACAUGAUCAAAUCUUUUUUGGGUUUGGAUCCUAUUGAGAGCACUAAGGAUCUAAAAUGGUUGAAGAAAUGAUAAGAUAUUUCUUUAUCCUUUCUAAAGGAUCAUAAAAUAAAUGGUUAAUAGUAAUAUAUUCAAGAUAAUACAUAUUUAUAAAACACCUUCUCACACAAUCUUAUUUCAUCACAUCAAGGUAUGAUGUAGUUUCAAAUGAUGAAUUAGAUAUAGAGUUUUACAAAGAUUUCUUUCUUUAACAAAAAUCCAUUUUCUGAUAUACUCAUCUAUUCCAUGACUAGAAUAGGGAUGCACAUUACACCACAAUUUUGAAUCAUAGAGAGAUUUUAAGAAAUGAUAUAUCUAUUCAUUCUAUCAAUAAUCCAGCUAAGUUUGGUAUAUCAUAAGAGAUUUAAUCUUGUUAUUGUUCUUAUGAAUUAGAUCAAAAAAAUUCUUGAAUAAGGUAUUCAACUUUACAGAUGAAUUAAACGAGAAACCAAAUAAAAAAAAAAUAUUUAUUGAGAAUGAACCUUUUUAUUAAAUGGUAGAAAAAUAAAUGGGUACUUAUCUCCUCAAGAAAUUAUUUGGAGGAUUCAAAUUGAAAUUGAAAAUAAUGAUAUUUGUUAGCAACAACGUAAUAGAAGCAUCAAAUCUAAUAUAGCACCCAUAGAUACAUAAAAACUGUAUCAAGUCAAUUCUUUCUAACGAACAAAGCACAUCAAAACUUCAAAUGAAAUCCAAAGACAUCAAAUAGGAAAUUAUACUCUAAAUCAUAAAAUUAAUGAAAUAUAUAAUCAAUCAAAAUAUAUCGAAUUUGAAAAAAAAGAGUUAUAAAAAAUGAAUUAAUCCUCUUAUUUUAUUUCUCAAAUUGAAACAUCCACGAAUCGGGAUCUUGUUGCAUGCAGAUACAAAUAAUCAAUCCAAUUGAGACAAUAAUUUCCAAAAACAUACUAGACAUUUCAUUUAUAAGCAAAAAAAAAUGGUUUCCAAGUAUUGUUAUUACAUGUUAAUCAUUGAAUUAUUAAAUAUAAUUUUUCACAAAAUCAAAUAAACUAUUUCCUAUAUAUAAUAUAAAUAUAAAGUCAAUGGAAAACAGAAAUUAGGGAGUUGUUAGUUGGAAAGAAUCCAAAGUUGGGGAAAGCCAUGGGUUGGUAAUAAUGUUGAAUUUAGAAUAGGAGCAUAAAAAUCUCAACUACUCAUUUCACUUACCAAGCUUUAUUUUAAAAUUUAUGGCGGUGAAGAUUGUGAAAGUGACCACUUUACAUAAGGCCCAUGUCCUAUUAUCACCCCUUUUCUCCAUUUCAAUAAAUGUAGGGGGAUUUUUUACCGUUGAGCAUUUUUCAAAAAUAGUGAUUGAAAAAACUAUUUUCUAAUUUAUAAUGAGGCUAAACAAGAAAUCCUCAAGACCACUUUAAAAUUUUAAAAUUUUAAAAUUUAUCAAAUUGGAAAACCACGCAUUCCACCUAACCAAAAGCCUUGAAAUCAUGGACAAUCUUUUGGGUAGGAACCCUAGGUGGCCCACAAUUAUCCGCUGUUGUCUUCUAUCUCUUUGCAUUUCUUAAUUAUUUUUGAAGUGGUUAUCAUAAACUAAUAAAUUAUUAAGUUAGACAGCACUCUAUUAUUAGAGCAUUAUAAUAUCAUCAUCAUAGUGGAAAAUUAGACAUUGUUUGUUGUAUUCAACUCACAAAUAAUUUAAUUGUUUCUUUUAAACAAGUUUAAAGUGGUUAGAAUGUUAAUUAUGUGUCUAUAUAAUAACACUAAUCAAUGAAAGUUGAUCUUAAGAAUAACAAUCAAUGGCUCGUUCCUUUUUCUUUUCUUUUUUUUUAUCGGUAGCAAGAAAAAUGUAUAUACCAAAGUAUUUAGGGUUUGGUCUAAAUCGAGUUAAUAUUCACUAUAUUUCCAUUGCUAAGUGAAUAAGAAAUGAGAGAUGCAAGUAAAAUAAGAACGAAAGUGAAUCACAACUAAAAUAUGCAAGAAAAAUCCAAGAUUCUAACAAAUGAGAUUUAAUUUCUAUAACAAGUCUUUAUAUUUCUAUGCUUAUUUUAAACAAUAACUAAAAUACAACAAUAAAUGAAAAAUAAAAUGGAUUCCUGUUUUCUAUAUUCAUUCUCUAUUCUAAUGUGUCAAACAUGCUCUAAGUCAAAAUAGUAUCUCAACAUGGUAUAAAAAAAGACGUCAUUCCUUGGAAAGCCACCCCAUUGCAUAUUGCAUAUUUUUUAGACUUUGUGAAAAGAAAGAAACCCAAGGCCUUUGAAAAUGUGGAGCAAUCGUCUCAAUCACUAAAGAACUCUGUUAAAAGUUUGUAGCUAUGGGUUAACAUGGAGACAGCAAAACAAAUCGAUGUAACCGAUUUUAUAGAUUGGGUGAAAUCUAGAUGAAAAAGGGAACACAUUUUUAUAACUUCCCACUUUGGGGCUAUACUUUUUUAGUUCCCUUUUUAUACAACUUAUAUACCUUUGUGUAUAGCUUCUUUUUUAUUAAAAUAUAUCUUAUCAUUUCUUAUCAAAAAAAAAAAGAACCCCUCACUACGCAACGUUUUUCCUUGUUCAUACAUCCCAUGUGCAAGCAAAGGGAGACUUCAUAGGAUGACGAGGGUAUCAUGGGUUUGACCCAAAUCAGCUUUACUGGCUUGAAUGAAUUAUGAGGAUCACCCUCGUCAAACACCGACCUUUCAACAUUGCCCAAUCCGAAGCCAAUCUCAUAGUCAAUUCAAGCUAAUUGGGUUUGCAAAAGUUACUCAAAUUGAGUUAAUUCACUGGAUACCAUUUUAUUAUAUUUUCUAUAUUUUUAAUAAAUCAUAUUAUUAAUAAGAUAAUGAUGAUAACCAUGGGUUUACUUCUUGAUGAUUUGCCCAUAUCUUCAAUCCACGUCAACCCAAAAGUAUUGGGAUCCACAGCUUGCCCUAAUUCAAACCCUACUCCAUGUCAACCCGAACCAUGGGUUGGGCAGGGUCAGACUUGAGUUGCAGCGCCAUUGGUGGUCAAUUGUCCAACAGUUAAACCAGCUAGCCCAAGGAUAAGGCAAAUAGAUAAAUCAAACAAAACCAACCAAAUCACCCAUGGAAUAUGCUACGGUCACAAACACAUGGUGCAGAGUCUGUCAAAAGUGAUGAGCAACUUUUAAAUUUGCGAAUUUCCAAAUACUACCAUCUGAUAUUAUACCUCCCACUUCUGUCUAAACGCACCCCUGUUGUCCUAAAACAAACAGAGUUUGCUUAGCUAAAUUUAGUAGAAUAAAUAUGGAAUUUUGCACAAAUCAAUAACUUUUUUUUAUAUUUUCUUUUCAAUAGGCAAUAAAAGUUGUAUAUAUACAAAACAAAAAGAUGUAUAACAGAGUACACAUGUAUACCAUGGGCAAAAUGAGGCAAACCCACAAAAGAGAGAAGAAAAAGGACCAAAAAAAAAAAAACUCUCUAUCUCAACAAGAUCCCAGCAUCUGUACUUUCUGAUAAAUGAGGACUGGUACCCUACCUUCCUACUCUCUCUAGUUUCCAUUGAUGUUAAAAGUUUUCUAUGCUUUUUUGCAUCGGUUUUGGACAUUGCAUGAUGAUUUUCUGGUGUGCCAUAGAGCAAUUUUACAAGAGGGAUGAAAACGAUUAUUGGGAAAUACCCAAGUUCAACCUUAAAGAGCAAAUAGACAUCAAUCUGAAAUUGAAUAUUUUUCUUUUUCAUACAUCGUACCUGUUGAGAACUAGAAAGGCAGAACUGGGCUUUGAUGGCCACAUCUUGAUAAAUCCAAACCAUGAGGUUUCUUUAAGGAUUAAGAUAGUGUCAUUCACAAACUGCUGAGCAUACAAAAAAUAACACAAGAAAGAAUCCGUAUGCUUUGAACAACUAAAAGCGCAUUUGACAGUGAUUCUAGAAAGUGUUUCUAACCUUUCUAACGCUUGAAACUUUCUAUCUUUCAAGUAUUAGAAAAACUAGAACCACUGCAAAACAUACUCAUAAUCUACAUAAAUUGUGAAAAGGAAUAGGAAUAAUAAUAAUAAUAAUCCAAGGGGGCCAAGAGAUUCCGACCCAACAGGAUCAUGACCAACUACCAAGUUCCAUCAGCUUCUGAAGCUUUCCUUGUAAGGAGUUCUGAAAACAAUGGAAAAAAGCAAGCUAUUGCCUUUUGAAUGAUUUUAGAUUGUAGAAGCUUUAAGCACAAAUUGUUAACAAAAGAGCAUGCAGCAGAAGAACCUGAUAACAUCUCCUAUGCUACAUCAAAAUAACUACUGGGAGCCAAGUAAGCCUGUGAUUCCACAACUUAAAGCCAUCAUAAUAGUAAAACUUUGUUACAGGCAACAAGAAGUAGAACAAGAAUCAAGACAAUAUUUAGUGGUGUAAGGAUAAUCCCUCAGGAGCUCAAAUGUAACAAAAAUCUGAAAUGCCAAUGAUGCUGCAAAAUUAAAGAAAGCUCAAAGAGAAAUAAUACUGUGACAUGGUCUCUGUGGAUCUUGGUUUCCGUUAGUUGUCCAUGACAAUAAUAGAAUGCCAUACUGCAAAAGCAAAACAACCUUGGAGUGUUGAUUCAGUAUAUGUUUUAAUAGAUAAAUAAAGAUCAAGGAGCUACUUAUACAAGUGUCAAGGGGUUGAAAUUCGGAAAUGUUUUAAUAGGAUUAAUGUUAUUUAUGAAAACAUGAAAGAGUACAAGGGACACAAGAAAAUUUUGUCACUAUCCGUAUUCAUGAUUAUAAUCAACUCUAGAUUAUAACAAUGAAAAGUUAAUAGGAUUACACGGUUAAGAAGUUCUCCUUUAGGCUUCUUUCAAAGCUCUAGGGGUUGAGACAAGGGGAUCCCUUGUCUCCCUACUUAUUCGCGAUAGCAAUGGAGGCCCUCAGUAGUCUUCUCUUGAGAGCUAGGGAAGGAGGUUUUAUCUCAAGGUUCAAGGUGAAGGGAAGAGGGGGUGAGGGGAAGGAAGUUUCUCAUCUCCCCUUUGCUAACGACACAAUUGCUUUUGCAAGGCUUCUUAGGAUCAAGUCAAUAAUUGAUGUUGGGAUCUCAUGUAGUUCGAGGCUAUUUCAAGGCUGAUAAUUAAUCUUUAUAAGAGUGAGUUGAUCCCAGUUAGGCGGGUGGAAAAUAUGGAGGAGUUGGCUUCUGAGCUCGGUUGCAAGGUAGGGGAGCUACUGACUUCUUACUUGGGCUCUCUUUGGGGGCUCCUUGCAGAUCAAAGGCGGGUUGGAAUGGGGUUGAAGAGUGGUUUCAAAAAAGGGCUUCAAUGUGGAAGAGCCAAUACAUCUCUAAAGGGGGGAGGCUUAUAAUGAUUCAUAACACAUUAUCCAACUUGCUUAUUUAUUUUAUGUCUUUGUCCAUCUUGAAAAAUGUCAGGUUAAGGCUAGAGAAAAUCCCUAAGGAUUUUCUUUGAGGUGGAGAGGUCCUAAAGAAAAACCCACACUUGGUGAAGUGGUCGGCUAUUUGUGAGGCCAAGUCAAAAGGGGGUUUGGGUGUCAAAUCUCUCUCUUUGCUAAACAAAACCCUUCUUUGCAAAUGGCUUUGCCAUUUUACUUGUUAAAGGGAAUUGCUUUGGAAGAAGGUUAUUGUUGGCAAAUAUAGGGAGGAUGAAGGGAGGUGUUCUUGUGAGGUAAGAGACUGUUAUGAGGUAGGCUUUUGGUCUCUUUUUCUAUGGCCAAUGGGAGAAGAGCAAAAUUCUGGAAGAACAGGUGGUGUGGUGAGGAGCCUCUAGUGUUGCCUGUCCAUCCUUGUUUGCCUUAGUCAAGUUGAAAGAGACGAGGGCAAGAAAUUUAUGGGGGCAAGAAAUUUAUGGGAGUAGAGUGAGGAAGGAGGACAAUGGAAUUUCUAUUUCACAAGGAAUUUAAAUGAUUGGGAGUUAGAUCUCAUGGAGUUUUUUUUUGUUUAGACCCCAAGGAAAGUCAGUGCACAAAGACAUGGAUGAUCAAGUAGUAUGAAAGAUCAUUAAGAAUGAUAUCUUUUCUGUGAGAUUUCUUUAUUCUGCUCUUGAGCUAGAUCGUGCCUUUCCUUUUCCAUUAGCAAUUAUCAGGAACCUCUGGAGUCUAGGGUGAGCUUUUUCCUUAGGAGGCAUGUUGGGAUAAGGUGUUGAAGUUGGACCGGCUUCAAAGAAGAGGUUAGUUUAGUCAACAUGUAUACUCUUUGCAAAGACGAGGCAAAAUGCAUUGACCACACUCUUUGUGGCAGUUAUUCUUUCUAUUGUUUGGUAUUUUCUAGGUCAUUUUUGCCUCUAUCAAGGAGAUCUCCUAAAAUGGCAUGGCUCUUUCAUGGGAAGAAGGUGAAAGAAGGCAUGGACAGCAGCCAUACCGUUAUGCAUUCUCUAGACUAUUUGGGAGGAAAGAAAACGAGGAUCAUUUGAAAAUGAGUUGUAUGAUCAACGUCUAAAUAACAUCUUCCUCAAUAAUAUCUAUUAGUGGUUCAAGGCUUACGUAGAUGAAGGUGCUAGGUCUUUAUUGGAUUUUAUUGAUUGGCUGGGGUUUUGUUGAGGGAGGGAGUAGAUUUUUUGUCUUCCCCUUUUUUGCUUGCCCUGUUGUAUACGUCCCAUGUACUCUCGUUUACCUUUUCUUUCGGCGCUUUUAAUAUAUUCUCUUCUUUGCCUAUAUAAAAAAGAGAAGACAAAGAAAACAAGGCCAAGGAAGCUCUAUACAAUAGAAAACAGAAAUUAUCAACAUUAGUAAAUUGGAAAUGUAGCUGUAAGUACAGGGCCAACACAUGAAGCUGUAAAUUCUAUAAUACCACCAACAAUCACAACGAGAACCAUCCAUACCAACACAUAAAAUUGCAACCAGCAGCCAUGACUUAAAAUAGACAACUUUAGGUUAUCAAGGACUCCAAGCAUCAUACAACCAAAUUCCAAGUCUAACCAUUCCCUGCCUUUUGCCACUCUUCCUCGUGAUCUUUUGCUACCCACAAGCUUGAAAUGCUUCUUCUCUAAAUAAAUACCAUUUUAAGGGUAACAGGAUCAUUUCCUGACCUGAAAACACUUGGCAGUAGUCCUGCAAGCAAAUGUACAUAGUUCACUAAUGAACAUCUGAGAAGUAUACUAACAAAUCUGAUUCUGAUUCUGUUUUUGUUUUUUCCUUUGCUUUUUUUGCCUGUUUGGGAUAAUUAACAUUUUUCCCCAGUGAAAUAAAAAAUAUCCCAAAAUCUUAAGGAAUAGAGAAUGAAUAGAAAAUCCUCUUAUUUUCAUUUCAUCUAUUUGAUAAAUAGAAAGACCUAUACAUGUACCCUAGGCCUAUUGAGUAACCAAAUUAAUCAAACUGUCAAUCCUGUUUGCAUUCACUUUUUUGUUCUUUUUUUUUUUUUUUUUUGAUAGGUGUUGACCUUUUUUUCUUACUCAAAUUAAUGUUCAUUAAUUAAUCUUUUCCUUCUAAACAAAUUCACACACACAUAUAUAUAGGUGUGCGUCAGUGUAUGAGUUUUUACAUUGGUAUAAUAAAAUGGCAUAAAAGAAAGCUGAAGUAGUCCCACAUAACUGUAACUAGUAGAUAUUGAAUGGCAUCUUACAGAAAAAAAUGGUAACAGAGAGAGAAGAACAAGGAAAUCAUCUUUAUCUGUGCCAUUUCAUUGCCAAACCUUAUUCUAGAUCAAUUGAAACAUUUUUAACUCAAAAAGGGUGUGUUUUGGAAGGCAGGAAUGGAAAUGAUAUUAACAUGGGAAUGAAGUUGAAUCAUAACACCAUUUGGAAAAAAGGAAUCAAAAUCCUGGCAAGAGUAGGUUUUGGUUUCUGUGAUAAUAAAUUUUUUAUUCCCACUCCUACGUCUAAAAAGCAAUCCAAACACAAUGACCAAUGAGAAAUGGAAUGGAUUUUCAUUCUCAUUCUCUUUUCCAAUGAACCAAAAAUGUCCUAAGAGGAAAGGUUCAAAUGAAGAAGAUAAGCAUUCAUGGAAAAAGCUUCUUGAGAAAUAUGGACAUUCAAUAGCAAAGCAGUGGAGCUGAGACACGAGUUGAGAACUAGAUUUCUCAGCAACUAUACAGAGAUUAAUUUAUAAAAAAUAAAAUAAGACAAAAUAAAAAUGAAAAAAAAAAAAAAAACCUAAAAUAACCAGAAUCUGAACAGAAAAAAUCCUGUCAUUGAUAUUCUUUACUGAGGUGUUGUUUCUAGGAACCUGAAACAGACUUACUCAAAUUACCUUAAAAUCUGAAAUAGAGAAGUUCAACAACUAAAGGUUUCUUUCAAAGUCAACUCAGGGCUUCAAAACAGAGAAGUCGAUUCCAGCUUUGAUCUCCAAACAAAGCAUGUUCCACGGACUUUAGGAACAAAAUAAGAGAAGGAAACAGCUAGAUGACAGGAGACAAUGAGAAUGUCCAGUCUGCAAAGAUUCUCUGGAAGAAAAUGGAGAGCAGCAAUAAUGAGAAAUGGGAUCUAGGGCUCACAAGAGUGGGAUGGGUGUUGGCAACAGAAAUCCAGGGUUCACUAGAAAGGGAUGGAUUUUCGCAACAGAAAUCUAGGCUUUGCAAGAAAGGGAUGGGUUUUUUGCUGGUGGCUAAGACCUUCAUGGAAUGAUCUUACUCACAAUGCUCAAAACAGUGUCUGGACAGCUAGACAUUUCUCAGGUUACAAAGAAUUGCCAAGUUUGUACUCACAUAGACAGUGUUCCCUUUUUACCCCUUCAUAUGGCAUACCCUUGCUUCUCAUGAAAUUUAUCCAGUGAGUCAAAAGUUGGUCUAAUACAGUGUUCACUUAUUGUACAUCAUAAAAAGUAGUACUCUGUGGCAUGCAUCCAUUGAACACCACAAUAUUGCAGCAUGAAAAAACACUUUUCUUGUAGUGUAUGCAACACAACUAAAUUUCUUUACAUUCAUUUUUUUUAAAAAUAAGGAUGGGUCAAAAGCAAUAAGAUUCAAAAACUGACAGGAAAUUGACAAUAGAUUCAGAAUCCACUGAAAUGAACAAUCUCCACUCUGCAAGGCAAUGUAAAUAUAUACACCUAUAACACAUCAUUUUAGAGAACUCAAUGGUAACUGAUAAAGUUAUAUUGCAAGAAAUAAAACAGACAUGUCUUGAAAAGCUAAUAAGUACAGCUGAAGAAGAAAAUGUCAUAGUGUACCCAAACGGGGGGGUCCAACACCCGGCCAACAACAGAAGCAUCAAAUCUGGGCAUGCAUCACUGGUUACAGGUAACAGGCAGUGCAAUAAUUAACUAAAGGUUAUAAGCAUUUUCACUUUGUUUACUAAACAUUCAUCUACAGAUCAGAUAUUUCUUAGAGCAUCAGCAGAACUUAAGGAGAUAAAAAUAGGGAACUAUAUGAUUACAACAGUAUAAGAAAGUGAAGCUGGCAAACCAAUGAAGGAGGUUUUUGCAUGUUCAAUCACCAUCCCCAGGGAAGCAUGCUCAUAAAGUCUCUCCACUUCAUCCACUAGUCAGGUAAACAAGAAUAUACUCAGGCAGCUCAUCAGGCCAGAAGAUGGGUGCUCUUUUGCUAAGGACAUACAAAUGAAUCCUGCAGAAAAAACAACAAUCAACAUAUGAAACCGAAUGACUAGUUUUUCUUCAAUUACGUCACUUUAAAUUCACAGAAAAUAUUCUAAUAAUACCAAACUGUAUCCAAAAUCUGGUAAUCAAGUAAUAAGCAAGCAUCUUCAACAGAGCAUAAUGUAAUUUCAAUAACAAAGAUGAGAAUCUGGAGAUUGACAAAUCAAAUCCAAGAAUAAUAUAAUAACAGUAAAGUUUCAAAAUAACAAGGAAAAUUCUAGGAAAAACCAGGAAAAUUUCAAUUAUAGCAUAACUGAAAAAGGGAAUACAGAGAAAGAGAUACCUGCAGAACAAAAUUCUUUGUUAUUGACAUGCUUAGGUGGGCAAGGACCAGUUUGCGUACUUUUCCCAACAAAUGAUUGCAAAAGAAUGUCCAUAGGAUUUUCCAUCCCUUCAUGUUAAGACUCACAAUAUGUUCUGUGCAGAUAAACCUAUUUGAAGGUUGAAGCAAGUCAUAUUUAGUUUCAAGAGAAAAUUUCUGUGACAUUUUCAAAAUUUCCUUUUUGGCAAAAACUUCAAUUAAUUGAAUUCCAUUUAUUAAAUAAAAUGAAAACAGAACAACAAAAAACUACCACUAAAGAAUUUGACAAAACCCUCCACCAUAACUGAAGGGCCUCUAAUAGUAAAAAAUCACCUCAUAGAAUUAUACAAAAACAGUAUCUACAUUUAUAACAAAAAGCAAUGUCAAAAUGAAAUCUGGGACCAGUUAGCACUAAUAGAAGGCUUAAGCACAAAUCAAGCACGACGUUUACUCAAACGCCAAGAGUUAGGUUCAUGAUAUCUGUCAUAAAGUGGUUCAAUACGCUCUUGACGCUUCCGUUUGCUCAUUUUCGUGGGAUCUGCCACUUUGAAGAAUCUUGGUGCCAAUUCCACAAGCCAUUUGGGGUCUAUAACUGUAACCUCUCGCAUGUACUCCUUUGUAGUCAUUACCAAUUCAUGGUAGAUGACCCAGUCUGGCUGUCUCUGGAAAAGAGCACUGCUUGGGUGAAUAUAAACUGGCUGGUUCUCAACUAGGGUUCUAUAACCCUCCUGUGGGUCCUUUCUUGCUGCAUGGAAAAAGAAACCCGCUGUAAUUGCCUUCCUUAUCUUCGUGAAAUUUUUCCCAGCACUAACAACAUCCAAUUUAUACCUGAAAUGCAGCAGUGGUGAGUUAGAAAUACCAGGCAUUUGUUUAUUUAUUUAUUUAUUAUAAACACCAGGCACUUAAUUUUAAGUAGUUUAUUGAGUAAGAUUAGCAUAAAUAUGGCCCAAAAUUAAGAUAGAAUCACAACUGGCAUACUCCACUGAGACCAAACUUCUGGACCUUUCAUUUAGCAUUUUGGGCUUCCAAGUGAAUCAAAGACUUGAAAUAUGGAAAAAAUUCAGUGUUCAACAAAUUGGAGAAGGUUUCCACUUUUUAUGAUAAUCUAAACAUAUAUGAUCCCAUAAAGCACAUGGUAGCAAUUUGUCUACAACAACAUAGAAAAGAAAAGAAAGAUGAUGAAGCAAAUGCCAAAAGGCAUUCACUGACAAGCAUUCACAAUGGGUAGAAGAAAUGAUGUGAAUCAAAUUCAACAAUAAUACUGUCUUAAUAAAACUGGUCUACAGCUAUUCUGACAAAUUGGAUGAGGCAAUGAAGACAGUGGCACACCUACUAUAGACAAAUUGCAUGAUCCAAGUACAGCUGUACCCAAACUGAGCAAGUGUGAGCAGUAAACAGUGAGCAAAAUAACCAAUUAUUGAUACAACAUUAUUCAACAACGUGGAUUUGGACCAAAGCACCUCUACACAACUGGUUUUCAUAUUUAGCACUAAAUUUUUUUUUUACACGCCAAUUUUUGUCCCCAUUGAGACUUGGACUUGGAAAGCCCCCAGAAAACCUCCCACCUUUACCACUUGAGCCAGGCCUCAAGGGCUGGUUGUCAUGCUUAGCACCAAAUUAUAACAAACAAUGUUUACACCUAUUAAUGAAGAUAAACUACCAGUAAGAAUUAUGCUUCUUAAUUUCUGUCAGCAUGUAGAAAAUGAUCAUUAGAUUUGCAAGAAAAUCUAACUCAAAAAAAUAAAAAGCAAAAGAAAAUAGUGCAAUGCAAAUAGAUGUAUCCCAGCAAGAAACUAAAGCAAAAAUCCAUGGCCAAGAACUAUGAAACAUAUAAAAAGAGAACUAGAAUAUCAUACUUGUCCAUGAUGGUGAGAAGUUGUUUUCUGACAUCUUGUGCCCUCCUCAAGGAUCGAGACUGAACAAAGUUCUCAAAACACCACGGUCCGGAAAAAUUCUUUGCCUUCCAAGCCUCAUAAACAGCAAGCAAAGUUAGAUGGUCUCCUUCUGGCUGAAAAAACUUGGCCCUCUUUUGAUCAGCCUGAGCUUGCUUUUCCCUGGGCCUGUAGAAGAUGUUCCCCGUCUGAAUCAUUGCAAUGAUUGUCAAAAUCUCAUCACUGCACCCAAGGUCCACACUGGCAAGUAGCAUCUUAGAUAAUGGAGGUUCCAGUGGAAAUUCUGCCAUUUUCCUGCCCAAUUUGGUCAGAAGCCCCUCCUCAUCUAGAGCUCCAAGACUGUAGAGCUGUUCCAUGGCAGAAAUAAGAGCUUGAGGUGAAGGUGGGUCCAUAAAAUCAAACGACAGAAGAUCAUUUAUCCCCAUUGCUUUCAUCGUAAGCGUAGUAAGCCCAAGAUUUAUCCUUUGUAUCUCUGGAACUGAGGUUGGGGACAUCUCAUUCCGAUAAGCACUCUCAGUGUAAAGGCGAUAGCAUUUUCCAGGUCCUGUACGUCCAGCACGCCCAGCUCGUUGUUUGGCUGAUGCUUGUGAAAUAGGUGUUAUGACCAAGGAAUCAAGCCCUUGUUUGGGGUUGUAGACAUUUUGCUUCGCAAAACCAGGAUCAAUGACAUAAAAGAUGCCAUCAAUGGUUAAAGAAGCCUCAGCAAUGUUGGUAGCCACAACCACUUUCCUCUUCCCUGGAGGAGCAGGGUCAAAAAUCCUCGACUGCAUUUCACUAGGAAGGGCACUAUAGACUGGUAAAAUAAUGAGUUCGGGAACAUUUUUACCUAGCCCUUUCAUCCUCUCGUAAAGAGACUGGCAUGCAUGAUCAAUCUCCUCCUGACCAGUCAAGAAGAGGAGGAUGUCUCCUUCUGGUUCUGUCAAAUGAAUUUGGAGGACAGUAAUCAAAGAUGCAUCUAGGUAAUCGCUUUCAGGUUGUUUGGUGUAGAGUAUCUCCACAGGAAAAGUUCUUCCAGGGAUGGUAAAGAUGUUGCAGUUGAAGAAAUACCCUGAAAAUUUCUCUGCAUCCAAUGUGGCAGAUGUGACAAUCAAGCGAAGAUCAGGCCUCCGUUUCACAAGGUGCUUCAGCAAUCCAAAAAGGACAUCAGUGUGGAUCGUCCUCUCAUGAGCUUCGUCAAGCAUAAUUACAGAAUAUUGAGAAAGAUUGUCAUCAAUCAGAAUCUCCCUGAGAAGCAUGCCAUCAGUCAUGUACUUGAUGACAGUAUCUGGACCAGUACAAUCCUCAAACCGAAUAGCAUACCCAACUUCCUCUCCUAAACGACAACCAAACUCUUCAGCAACCCUCUUUGCCACAGACAUUGCAGCCACUCUACGGGGUUGGGUACAUCCAAUCUUACCCCUGGUAGUGUAACCUGCUUCAGCUAGAUACUGUGUUACUUGUGUUGUCUUGCCAGAACCAGUCUCACCAAUGACUACAAGAACCUGAUUAUCAUGCACAGCCUGAACAAGUUCCUUCUUCAACUUGUAGAUAGGCAAGCUUUGUCUCUGCUCCUGGAUGGAGAGUUUUGAUCUUUGGCCAAAAGUCAGGGCUUUUCCAAAAGCAUCCUUCUUCCAUUCAGGCAUAUCAUAGGCUGAUAAACCAACACCCCUCAGCUCCUGAGCAAGAUGCCUCUCACCUGUCUCAGGCAUUGGGUCUUCCCAGGGACGAUUGAGAUCUUUAGGAAUAGAAUCAAGCAUUGUUCUCUGCUGCUGUUCCCGUACUUCUCUUCGUUCCUUUAUGAGAGCUGACUGAAGGGCAGCAGCUCGACUCAAGGACCCCUCUGGAUUCUUGAAGAUCUUCACAGGAGACAUGUCCAUAGAGUAUCGACUCUGCCCUUGCAAAAAGGCCGGUUCAUCUUCAUUCAUCUCAAUCUCAAGCUCCUCCUCAGCACCCUCUUCUUGAUAAAGCAUGCCAUCUCCUUCGUCAUCAUACAUAGGAAACUCCCUAAUAUCCAGAACCCCUGAAGCAAUCAACUGUUUUGCUUCCCAUUUCUCUGGAGAACUCAUCCGUUUCAAUGGUCGCCUUGAUGGGGCAGCAUCAUUCUCUUCUACAAUCCUUAUUCCUGAAAGACCAGUCCUACUCACAGGCCCCUGGUUUGCACCUGAAGGGUUCGUUCUCAAAGCAUCAUCCUCCAAGCUCUUUUUCAAAGGAAUCAAAUCUCUCCCAGUAUUCUGAUCAACAUCCCUCAUAGAAAGACUCAGCUUCUGACCCGAAACAGAGAUCACCUUAACAUAAACCUCCUGAUCCCUCUUCACCACAUCUUUUGCAUUACCCACCCUCCGAGUCGCAAUCUGAGAAACAUGCACCAAACCCUCUUUCCCCUUCAAAUCAUUCAGCUGCACAAAGCAACCAGUGUCCAUCACUCUUGAAACCCUCCCCUUAUAUACGUUAUACAAUUCUGGCUCAUCUGAGUGAUACCUUCCGUUUCUCCUAUCCCUAUCGCCCCUCCUAUCCCCCCCAUCUUCACCACCCUCCCUAUUAUCACCAUUCUCUUCAUACCCAUCUCUCCUAUGCUUCUCAUAUCGAUCCCGGUGCCUUCCACGACCCCUGUAAUCAUUCUUAUCAUCAUAAUCAUCAUCUUCCCUCCCUCUACCCCUCUCACUCCCAUCAUCUCUCUCCCUAUGCCUCUCACUCCUAUCAGCUCUCUCCCUAUGCCUCUCAUUCCUAUCAUCUCUUUCCCUAUGCCUCUCACUCCUAUCAUUUCUCUCCCUAUGCCUCUCUCUUCUAUCAUCUCUCUCCCUAUCUCCGUCUCUAUCUCUAUUUCUUUCAUCCCUGUGCUUCGCUUCUUCCUCCUCUCGGCGCCGAUCCCGGCUUUCUAUUUCAAUCUCUCGCUCAAGUUCCCUCACUCUCUCCUUACUGUCCCCGAUCCCUAACGCCGGAAACUUCGAUUUCUUACCAUCACCGCCAUCCUUCUUCAUUCCCUUAUCAUCCGACUUGGGCUUCGGCGGAAGAAUGGCAUGAAUUAUAGUUAACAGAGUCCUCACAAAGUAAUCCGGCAUUUCCGCGCCAUUCUCCUUCAAUUUGGAAUCGAAUUCAUCAACAGUUUCGCACUUUCGACCCAUGUCGGUGAUGAAUUCCGCCAAAACCUUGUCCCCGACCCCGAGAUGAGUUUCCAGCUCCGUGCAAACCUUCGAAACCAGAGAAAGGUACUCGAGCUUCUUGAGACCAUCGUUUUGGGCGUCCACGGACAUUGUCGAAGCUUCAGAGAGAAAUUUUAGGGUUUGUAAAGUUUCACGAUACUCCAAACUGAGUUUCACUCUUGAAAGAAAAACCCUAACAAUCUACUUGUUGAAACUUCAGAUAAAAAUUCUAGGGGCUGUAAGGGUUUCUGAAAACAUAUAACAAUCUGCUCGCAGAUAUUUGAAUCGGAAAAUCUAGAAGACGAAAACUCUAACCCUAACCCGAAAAAAAAAAAAAAAAAUGUUUAGCUUGAAACCCCAAAACUAAUAAUAAUAAAUAUUAAAAUUAAAUUUAACUAGAAUAAAUAAAUAUAAUUUAACAAUUUUUUUAAAUGAAUACUAUUUAUUGUAACCAUUAUUUAUAAUUAUUAUUUUAUUAUUUAGUAUAUAAAAAUAAAAUCAUAAAUAAUUUCAUAAAGAAUACAAUUACAUGAUAUUAAGAGAUAUUCCAAAAAAAAAUAUUUCAAAAUUGUAAAAGCUACCUACCUUAUAAUAACUCAAAAAUUUUAAAAUAAAAGUAUUUUGAGGAACAACAAAAAAUUAUGGAGACCCGUGAAAUGAAAAUAUAGAGAUGAAACCAAGAAAAUUAUUUUUCACAUUUAAAUUUUGAAUUAUAAUUUUGCUAUUAAAAACUAUUUGGAAGAAUUAUUCUAAAAUACUAUUUUUUAGAACUAUUUUUUAAAAUAAUAUUACGAAUAUAUUUAAGAAUGAUUUCAAAAAACGUUUAUAAUAUUUCUAAUAUUUGAAUAAUAAAAAAUUUUAAUUGUUACAAAAAUUAAAAACGUUUCUUAAAAUCUCUACCAAACGGUUCUAUAUUAUCUUUAACUUUUGUGAUGUUUUAAAAAAUAUAAAUGGUUUUUUAAAAUUCCAUUACAAAAUUCAAAGCCAUAAAUAGUUUUUUUGGCUUAUUUUUAUGAAAUUGUUGUAUAAAAAUAAAACAACUAAAAAUAUCUUAGAUUUAUUCUAAAAAAAAUAAUUUAUUUUUAAAACAAAUUCUAAAAAGCUAUUAAAAGUCUAUUAAAGGUGUUUUUUGAGUUAGAAAAUUAUUUUUUGUUUUUAAUAAUAGAAGACUAUUUUUAAUAACAAUUAUCAAAUAAGUCUAAAAUUCUAAAUUUAGAUAACAUUAAAAUAUGCAAAUCUAAAUAGUGUUUAAGAAGAUAUAUAUAGAAUAUUAAAGAAUGUUGUAUAUGUUUUUUUUUUUUUUUUGUCCUUUUUAUCAUCUAUUUUUUCUCAAUGUGCAAAGAGAGUAGAAAUGACUAUUGGUGUUGGUACAUCAUGUUUGCAUCAUGGCAAAACUCAAGCAUUCAGUAAAAUAGGUCGAUUAAAACAUGACACCAAUAAAAGUCGACUUAAAAACAUGACAUAAUUAUUAAAUGGGUUACAUGUCAUGUAAUCGAUUCUGUGAUACCAAGGUUUGGUUAAUCUUGAUUUUGAUGAUAACAAAAUAAGGUUUAGAACUAAUGAUCAUAUUUCAAGUGUGAUUAGGCAAUACGACUUCCAAAGUGACAAUCCAAAAACAAAUCAAGCCAAGGAGAAAUCAUGAAGAAAAAAACCACUUCAAAGAGAAGAGUUUUUCAAGACCAAAGCUUCUUAAGAUCUCUUUGUAAGGUUGUUGGUGCACUAGGACUUUCAUACAUUUCAUUCUUUAUUUAUGCACUAAAAUCAUUCAAGAGUAAUAUUGUUUUAAAUAUCUUAAGAAUUGAAUGAUUUCAUAUUUUCAACUAAAACCUUGUAUUAAAUGAUUUUCAAACUUGUGUUAAAAGGUUUUAUGUUGAAAAAGGUUGAGUGUUGAGCCAAAAAAAUGGCUCAACCGGUUCAACCGGUCGACCGAUUGUGCUCGUCCGGUCGAGGACCGAUUGAGGGAGGCCAAAAAGUUUUUCUCUCCCAGUGGCCUUCUCUUCCCGAUCAAGGUUGAACCUCAACCGGUUGAGGUCCAGUUGAGGCCCAACGGUCACUUUUCCUAAUGGCUAGUCAACCGGUCGACCCCUAACUUGACCGCUCGAACCCCCAACGGCUAGUUUGACUUUUUUUUCUUCUAUAAAAAGGCUUCAAUCUUCAUUAUUUCAUGAGUUUAACCUUCCCAAAUCAUUCUUGAAUAUAUUUGAGCCUUGGAAGAGUGUUUUUGAGUGCACCAUUGUUUCAUAACUUGCAUAUCUUUAGUGCACCAUUCAAUCCUAAUUUUUCUUGUAUCUUUGAGCCUAAAGUUCUAUUACUAUGAUUUUUGUGAGAUCAAUCUUUGUAUAUCUUUGAGAGGAGUUUUCUUAAGUGAGGGGUAUGACUUGAAAGGUUGUUCAAGAGUGGGAUAACUCUUGAAAAGUGUAAAGGGUGCUUGGAGCCAAAAGUCCAAGAGGGUGAAUUGGAACCAUAAUCCAAUUGUAAAGAGAUUGGAAGCUUGGUUAAAACUUCAAGAUAGUGGAACCCUCACUCGGUUAGGAGGUUGAGGAUAGUGGACAUAGGCAAGGAAGUGCUGAACCACUAUAAACUCUCGUGUUUGCACUCUCUCUUCCCUAACUCUUUUAAAUUAUAUGCAAUUGUGUUUAUUUUGUUUAUUAUAUAUUUGCAUAUAAUUAUCUCUUAUUUUUGCAUAGUUUAAAUUUAUGAAAAAGAAACCAUCACCCUAUUUACCCCCCCCCCCCCCCUCCCCUCGCUAUGGUGAUUACCAUAGUUUGAAUUAAUCNNNNNNNNNNNNNNNNNNNNNNNNNNNNNNNNNNNNNNNNNNNNNNNNNNNNNNNNNNNNNNNNNNNNNNNNNNNNNNNNNNNNNNNNNNNNNNNNNNNNUUUCCCCUUUUUUUUCCCAAAUUUUUUUAAAUUUUUAGAAAUUGGUUUUUUUUUUUUUUUUUUUUUUUUGCCAAAAAUUUUUUUUUUUUUUUGGCAUGUUUAAAUUUUAAAAAAAAAAACCCCCCCCCUUUUUCCCCCCCCCCCCCCCCCCCCCUCGCUAUGGUGAUUACCAUAGUUUGAAUUAAUCUCAAAUUCCUAACAGAUUCAAUAAUCAUAUCUUAUAUAAUAAUUAGAUCGAAUUACGUUUUAUUUGAAUCAGUGAUUAACUUUUUUAGCAUGACUUGUUUAUGAUUCAAUUAAUAUAUAUUAUUUUAAAUGAAUUGAAAUGUUAUGGAAAUUGACCUUAAUAACUUUUUUCUUAAAUAGGUAAUACAAAUUAACAUGAAUUUAACUUAAACAUAAUUAUACCCCAUCCAAAAUAAUAAAAAAAACAUGUGGGAUUUGAGUCACAAAAGGUGAAUCAUAUCAAUUAUUGGCAACCGGUAAGUGAUUGAGUUAUUUUUAUCCCUUAUACUUUUUGACCAAAAAAAAAAAAAGGACAAGUAAAAAUCCGAGAAGAAUAAUAUUAUUUAAUUAUAUUUAUUUUGGUAUAAUUAAAGAAUUAGAAAAAAAAAAAUUUUAAAUUAAACAGCCCGACGUGUAUAUUAGUGGGAUUGGAACGUUGACAUGCCUACCCAUGAGUAAUUAAGCAAUAUUAUUCUAUUGUAGUAAGCUAAAAGCUCUUUUUUAUUAUUAAAUAAAUAAAUAACCUCAAAUAGUGCUUCUUUAUCCAUUUAGAUAAUUUUAUUAGAAUAGAUUUUAAUAUAAAAAAUUAAUAUAUUGAACACUUUGAAAGAGAAAUUUUAAAAAUUAAAAAAUAUUGUUUUUUUUUCUUUUCUAAAAACUGCUUCUUAUUAUUAGAAAGUUAUUUAGUGCUUAUGAAAAUUUUAUAAUACUAAUAUUAUCACUUCAGAAUUUUUGCAUUUGCUUCAACUUAAUCGUAAUUAGAAGAAGGAAUUAGAAUUGAAAUAAGAAUUUAUUUUUUAUUCUUACUCUUUAUUUCAACAUUUCAAACAAGGUCAAUUAGAACAAAACAAAAUUAUGUUAGGAGAGUUAAAUAAAUAAUUUAAUUCAUAAAAUUAAAUUAAAUUUUUGUAAUUAUAAGAUAUCUUUAGUUGUUAAACAAUAAUUUCAUUAGUUAAUAUGAUGAUUUUCUUUUCUUUUCUUUUUUUGUUAAAAAUAUUAUAAUAAAGGAAUGUAAAGGUAGAAAUGUUGAAAUUUUUAUGUGUGGACUUACAUAAUCAAUGUGAUAAUGUCAUAAAUCAAUGUUGCUUUAAUUUUUACAUUAUGGUCCGUAAUGGGGUUGGACACAUUAUUACUUGAUUUUUUAUGGACUCACCCUAAUUCACUUGAUUGGCUCAUUAAGUCAAGUGGUCCAAAUUGUGUAUGCGUGAUAUAUGAUAUAUAUAAAUAUAUAUAUAUAUAUAUGAAUUAUUAUUAUUAUUAUUAUUAUAUAAGGGAAAAAGGCAAGCUAUUGUUUUAUUUUGUCCUGUGUUUUCUCUUAGAGCUGAGAAGAGCACGUACUACACGAACGAACUCUUUAGAGCACACAUACAGAUUGUUUUAGGUGUUGAAAGGGAAGAGCCAAUUGAACCCAGGUUUUCACUCCAUCACGAACUAAUCGUAGUCUUGGACAUUAGUGCAACACAAAAUGGCUUUCCAUAGGAUUAAUCAAGGUCAGUUUUUCAUCAAUUCCCAAUUUUACUGCAUGCUUUAAUGUCAACAUGAGAUCCUGUGUGGUUUAAUUUUUCAAUAAUUGGUAUCAGAGCCACCAUGGAUGACGUUUAAGUUGUAUUUUUUUAUUAGUAUUAUUUAGGGUUUCCGUUUUUUGAUUUGGAAGCCAAUUUUGGGGUUUUUAUUUCAAUUGGUGUUAAUUCUUUGUUUUGAAGCCAAAUUGAUGUUAGAGACUUGUAGAAAACACUGUUUGGAGCAAAACCCAUUAUUUUAUUUUAUGUUUUUUUUGGAGCUCAGUUGAUGAGAUUUCGAAAAUUAGGGUUUCUUAUGGUUCUACAUUUUAUGCGUUUUUGUGUUUUUUUUUUUGGGCUUAGAUUGAAAGAUUAAUGUUUAAGGAUGGAAAAUUGAUUGUUUUUCGUCAGAAAUACACAAUUUUUGGUCGAAUUUUUUUUUUUCUUCUCUAAGAAGAACCAGGACUAUUUAGCCCAAACCAGGUCUAUUCAUCACGUGGAGAAGACGAUGACAUCAUCAUGACAUCAUUAAAUUUCAUUUUUUUUUUCUUGGUAUUAUUGGAAUGAUAAUGCAUAUGUUGGAAUUAUUAUACAUUUGUUAAGUUUGGUUUUAUUGGGACAAUUAUUAUUAUUGUUCUUUCGGGUAUAUAUAUAUUUUUUUUUAUAUAUACCAAUAGUGUUGUCUUAGGCUAUUUUGUUAAAUAUUUCAAUUUAUUGUGACAUUAAAGAACACUUGUGUGAUUGCCUAUCGCAAUUCCAAGUGUGUCAAGUUGUACAAAUUGAGAUAUUUUGAAUUUAUCAUGACAAUAGUGAACAUAUAUGUGGUUGUCUAUCGUGAUCCUAUAUAUGUCAAAUUGUCUUUGUUGAAAUAUUUUAUCUCCCACUUUUGGUUAUUUUAUUGUUGUGAUUACUAAGGUCCAUAUGGGUAUUGUAAUUGUCCUAUCGAUGAUUAUAAUACUUGGUAGGAUGUUUAGAUUGGUGAAGAAAAUUAAUUAUAUAUUAUGAAUCGUACUAAUUUUCUUUGCCCUUUCAGUAAUAAAAUUAGUGCAUCUUGGUUGUGAUAUUUAAUUAGUUGUCCUUAUUGCUAUGGAAUUUUCAAAAUUUCAAGCUAUUGGUAAAUUUGGAAACUAGCAAAUGGCAUGAUUUUGUGGUAACAUACAUUUUGUUUAAUUUUUCUAUUUUUCAGCUACUAGCAAUCCUGAAAUUACUCUACAAUUGUUUUCCAUCAAGCCUCUCACUGAAAAUAAUUUUGAGGAAUGGUACGAGUCAUUUAAUGUGCAUAUGACUCUGCACAAUUUGGACUUGGCUUUGAGAGUUGAUGAGCCAAGUAAGCCCACUGAUAUGAGCUCUGCAGAUGAAAGAUCCUUUUAUGAGAAAUUGGAGCACUCCAAUAACAGUUGUUUGAUGGUGAUGAAAUACACUAUGGAUAAAUCUAUCAAAUAAUGUGUGCCAAAGACGGAAAGGGCCAAAGACUUUUUGGAAUAUGUGAAGGUCAAUUAUACCAAGAUUGAUAAGGCAGAAAUGACAACUUACUUGAAGCUUCUCACAACCAACAUGUAUGAUGGAGUAGGUGGGGUUAGAGAUCACAUCAUCAAGCUAAAGCACUACUUCAACAAGGCAAAUGAGAUGAAAGUGGAGUUGAGUGAGAAAUUCCUAAAAUGGUUGAUACUUGAGUCUCUUCCUAUUUCCUUUGAUGCAGUGAAGUUGACUUAUAAUGCCUUGAAGGAAGAAUGGACUUUGGAAGAGUUGAUGUCCAUUGUGGUGCAACAUGAAGUCUCACUGAAGAAAAAUGAGACUCAUUAUCUUGUUCUUGUUACUGACCAAGGGAGCAAUAUGAAGAAAAAACAUCCACACAAGAAUUCUGGAGGCAUUAAGCAAUUCAAGAGGAAAGGGAAUUCGAGUUAAGGAGCCUCUAGUGCAUCUGUUUCAUUUGAUGCUACAAAUAAUGAGAAAUUCAAUGGGAAGUGUAACUUUUGCCGCAAGAUUGGGCACAAGCAGGUUGAUUGCUUCAAGUUUAAAAAUUGGUUAUAGAAGAAGAAGAAAGGAGAUGACAAACAAAAGGAGGUCGUCAAAGCAUGAAGAAUUUGUCUAUAUGGGUGAUGGAAGCAAAGUGAAAGUAGAUUUUUUUUGCAUGAUAAAGCUAAGAUUGGCCUAGAGAGAUUGGUUAGAGAUGGUGUGCUUUCUAAUCUUGAUUUCUCAGACUUCGAGACUUGUGUUGUUUGCUUAAAAGGGAAGAUGAAAGCUAAGACCAGAAAUGAGAAGAUUGAUAGGUAUGGAAGUACUUUAAACUUAAUCCACACAGAUAUAUGUGAUCAUUUGACACCAACUGCUUUAGGGGGUUAUAAAUAUUUCAUCACUUUUAUAGAUGAUUUCUCUAGAUAUGGUCAUGUUGAACUAAUUCAUGAGAAAUCUGACUCCCUAAAUGUGUUUAAGGCCUUUAAGGUUAAGGUGGAGUUGCAAUUAGGAAAACCCAUUAAAGCUGUGAAGUCUGAUAGAGGUGGUGAGUAUUAUGGGAGAUAUGAUAAGACUGGACGGAAUGCGGCAUUGAUGCUAGAUAUACAAUGCCAGACACUCCUCAACAUAAUGGGGUUGCAGAAAGGAGGAAUCGCACAUUGCUGGAUAUGGUGAGGUGCAUGUUGUCUAAUUCCUCCUUACCAAAAUUUCUAUGGGGUGAAGCCUUAAGGACUGCGGCAUAUAUGUUGAAUCAAGUGUCCAGUAAGUCUGUGCCUAAGACACCUUAUGAGCUAUGGUUAGGGAAAAAACCAAGUCUUCAUCAUUUCCAUGUUUGGGGAUGUAAGGUUGAGGUUAGGCCAUAUAAACCAUAGUCAAAGAAACUUGAUCUUAAAACCAUCAGUGGUUUUUUGUUGGUUAUUGCAUUGGAUCAAGGGGUUCGAGAUUUUAUUGUCCAUCUCAUACCACCAAGAUCAUUGAGUUAGACAAGGUUGUAUACUUUGAAGAUUAAGUUAAUGUUGAUUCCAUUUUUGUGCCUCAUGAGAUACCUUUUGGAAAAGAGCAUGUUGUAAUUCCUUUUCUUACAUCUCAUGUUCCAAAUAUGGAUGUUCCUAUUGUCCAACAGUCAGUCACUAAUCAAGGAGAGCAUGGUGAUCAAGUGGAACCUGGCAUUCCUGUUGAUGAUAUGGUUGUUGAUGGGAUUCCUUUGAGAAUAUCGCAGUGGGUUCAUAGGUCGGCUAUUUUAGAUGACUACAUGAUUUAUUUGCAGAAGCAUGAGUAUGAUGGUUAUGAUGUGAAAAACAAAGGCUAUACUUAGUUAAGAAAAACACCCAAAAGGGGGGGGUGGGGUGAAAUGGGUUUUUAAAAACUUUUCAAUCACAACAAAUUCAAACACAAUAUAAGCAAAGUAAAGAGAUAGAGUUUAGAGAAUUCAAACUCGAGUUUAUAGUGGUUCGACACUUCCUUGCCUACGUCCACUCUCCUCAACCUCCUAACCGAGUGAAGGUUCCACUAACUUGAAGCUUUAACCAAGCUUCCAAUCUUCUUACACUUGGAUUUCGGCUUCAAUUGGUUCUUACACAACCUUUUCAAGAUUUAAACUUCUUGAAGGCUUUAACACUCAGAUUUUUACAAGAUAUAAUCCCUCAACCUAGCUUAAGGAUAGCUCAAAUACAAGACAAAGUUAGGAUGACACACAAGAGUGCACUAAAGGAUAUGCAAGUGGUGAUUUAAUGCACUAUGAAAGAAAUAAGAGCUUUUUUAUCAAGAACAGGUAGGUAGACUAUUGAAUGCAAGUGUUCUCUUGUCAAUAAAUGAAGUGGAGCUCUCAAUUUAUAGGUUUCUAAGCUCGGGAGUCAAAAACAGCAAAAGGUAACCUCGUCCGGUCGAGCUAGGGGUCAACCAGUUCACUAGCCGUUGGAGCAUUUAAUGCAUGACAGGUUACCAUUGCCUUAACCGGACCUCGACCGGUCCUCGACCAGGAAUAGAAUCACCUCGACCAGGAAGAGAAGCCUACUGGGAGAGAGAGGAAGUUUUUGUGCAUCCUCGACCGGUCCUCGACCGGACGAACACAACCGGUUGACCGGUUCCUCAAUCGGUUAAGCCAGUUGGCCAUAGCUUCGACCGGUUAAGCUUUUUUGGCCACGAAAACCUUUUUUUUUUAUUCCUUUCUUUUCUAACACUUAGGCAAGGUCUUUAGGUAAAUUAUUAAGCCAAUUAUAAAACAUUUUGCCUAAGGUACAUUAGUUAAAAACUUGGGUUUUAAUGAAAUCGAAGUUUUAAAGAAUAAACCGAGUUUUCUAAGAUGCAUGAAACGUGUGAAAAUCCUAAGUGCACUCAUGCAUUCAUCUUACACUAUGAUCACAAGUCUUCUAAGCGUCUCGAUCUUGUAUCCAUUUGGUCCUUUGAUGAAUUUUCGAGUUUAUACUUGAAAUUCUUAAUCAUUAAACCAAUUAGUCACUUAACCAUGGUUUGUUAUCAUCAAAACCCGAUUAGGAGAACCCUUAGGCUAACAUGAUGCUUCUGAUCCAGUCACUUAUCAAGAAGCAAUUUAUUGUCCUCAAUUCACUUCUUGGAAAGAAGCUAUGGAUGAUGAAAUGAAUUCUAUGUAUAUGAAUAGUGUUUGGGAUUUGGUCGAAUUGCCACAUGAUUGUAAACUAGUUGGGUGCAAGUGGGUCUUUAAGACCAAACGUGAUUCUAGCGGGUGAAUAGAGAGAUAUAAAGCUAGAUUUGUGGUUAAAGGUUAUAGUAAAAAAGAAGAGAUUGAUUUUAUAGAAACAUUCUCACCUAUGUUGACCAGUGACUCUUUUAAAGUGAUUAUGGCCAUAGUAGCUCAUUUUGAUUUGGAGCUACAUCAGAUGGAUGUCAAGACAACUUUCUUGAAUGGUGAUUUGGAUGAGGACGUGUAUAUGGAGCAACCUACUGGUUUUACAAAAGUUGGAAAGGAAGACUUAGUUUGCAAGUUCAAUAAGUCAAUUUAUGGUAUUAAACAGACUUCGAGGCAAUGGUAUCUGAAGUUUGAUAGAAUUAUCACCCAAAAUGGUUUUAAAGAGAAUACAGUUGACAGAUGCAUAUAUUUGAGGGUCAAUGGGAGUAGUUACAUAUUUCUUAUUUUAUAUGUUGAUGAUAUACUACUCGCAUCAAAUGGCUGACUUGUUGAUUAAGACAAAGCACAUGUUGUCAACCCAUUUUGACAUGAAGGAUCUUAGUGAGACUUCUUAUGUUUUGGGCAUAAAAAUUCUUCGUGAUAGGGCUAAUGGGGUGCUUAAAUUGUCUCAAAGAACCUAUAUUGAGAAGAUAAUGAAGAGGUUCAAUAUGCAUAACUGUAGUUCUACUAGAGUACCAAUUGUGAAGGGUGAUAAGUUUUCAAAGGCUUAGUGUCCUCAAAAUGAUGAUGAGAGAAAGGAAAUGAGAACCAUUCCUUAUUCAUCUUUGGUUGGCAGCCUUUUGUAUGCUCAAGUAUGUGCACGCCCUAAUAUUGCUUUUAUUGUGGGCAUGUUGGGAAGGUACUUGAGCAAUCCUUGGAGUCAACAUUAGAAAGCUGCUAAAAAGGUCCUUAGGUAUUUGCAAGGAACUAAGGACUUAAUGUUGACAUAUCGGCGCACCAACAUACUUGAUGUAAUUGGGUUUUGUGAUGCUGAUUUUCUUGGCUGCAUAGAUGAUAAGAAAUCCACUACGGGCUAUAUUUUUAUGAUGGCAGGAGGAGUUGUAUCUUGGAAAAGUGUCAAGCAGACACUUACAACAUCCUCAACUAUGGAGGCAAAGUAUGUGGCAUGUUAUGAGGCUUGUUGUCAUGCUAUAUGGAUGCAGAAUUUUAUUUCAACUUUGGGAGUUGUUGACUCCAUUUCUAGAUCGUUGAAAUUAUUUUGUGAUAAUUCCGCAGCUGUUACUUUCUCUAAGAACACUAGAAGUAUUUCUCGCUCCAAACAUAUUGAUGUAAAGUUCUAUUUUGUUAAGGAGAAAGUGGCAGAGUAUCUUAUUGAUAUUGAGCACAUGUCCACAAAUGGUAUGUUGGUGGAUCCACUAACAAAAGGCUUACCCAUAGUUGUGUUUCAGGAACAUGUAUCUCAAAUGGGGUUGUUGGAAGCCUAGGUUGCAUUAAGUUAGUGUGAGCCACUUUUGGUAUUGUAAUAUUAUGCUACUGUUGGAAGGAUUGCUAUUAUUGUAUAUUUCCUUGUGAAGCAAGCAAUGAAGCAUGUAUGAUUGCUUUUUUUAUUAUUUGUUUUUGAUGAGAUUCUAUGGGACAUUGAUUUAUAAUUAUGUAUAUGUUGUGAUGUUUGAUUAUGUAGUCCAAGUGGGAGAAUUAUUGGAAUUUUUAUGUGUGGACUUACAUAAUCAAUGUGAUAAUGCCAUAAAUCAAUGUUGCUUUAAUUUUUGCAUUGUGGUCCAUAAUAGGGCUGGACACAUUAUUGCUUGAUUUUUUAUGGGCUCACCCUAAUUCACUUGACUGGCUCAUUAAGUCAAGUGGUCCAAAUUGUGUAUGUGUGAUAUGUGGUAUAUAUAUGAAUUAUUAUAUAUAUAAGGGAAAAAGGCAGACUAUUGUUCUAUUAUGUUCUGUUUUCUCUUGAGGUUGAGAAGAGCACGUACUGCACGAACGAACUCUUUAGAACACACAUACAGAUUGUUUUGGGUGUUGAAAGGGAAGAGCCAAUUGAACCCGGGUUUUCACUCCAUCACGAACUAAUCGUAGUCUUAGACAUCAGUGUAGCAUAAAAUGGCUUUCCAUGGGAUUAAUCAAUGUCAGUUUUGUUAGCUUUUUUUCCUAUAAUGUGUGGCCAUAUAUAAUUAUAUUUAUAUGAAUAUUAUUUAAGGGUAUCAAUUGAUAGGUAGGUGAAUCAAUUGAUUGGGCAUCCAAGAGUCUUAUGUAUGGAAGACUCAAAUUACAAAUGGAGAGUUAGAAAAUUUAACUCAUAUGAAUGUGGUGUUACAAUUUUUGUAACCCCAUAUUUAUGAAAUUUAUUUGUACAUUAUAUUUAUGAGUAAUGGAGGAAAAUGGAAAUGUAUAAUAUGCAAUUAUAUGGAUGCAUUCAAGUUCAUAACCCACCAUUACCCAUUAAUUUGUACAUAAUGGGUGUAAAUAAUGAGUAUAACUCUCAUAUAGUCUUUGAUGGGAAGACUAAGAGAUGUACAACUUAUUAUAAAUUGAGGUCUCAAGCCACACUCUCAUUCUUAUGUCUUUUUCUUUCUUGUUGUUUAUUUUUUAACAACAUACACCACACAAGUGACCCAUCCAUUAUAUGAGAGUAGUGAGUUAAAGACCUUGACAAUACAAUUCACAAGGUGACUCAAUCUCACUUCAUGAAUCAAGGUAAGAAUAUGAUCAUUAUUUUAGUACUUUCAUUUAUUUGUUUUAUGUAUCCAAAAUUGUUUUCAAAAAUAAUUAUUUCCGCAUAAAGUUUAUGAAAGUUUGGUUAACAAGUUUUUCAUCAAUUCUCAAUUUUACUGCAUGCUUUAAUGUCUACAUGAGAUCCUGUAUGGUUUAAUUUUUCAACAAGAAAUAGAAGAAAACUAACAUAAAGGAAUUGUAAUAGUCAUUGUGCAAUUUGAAAUAGAAUGAUGAAUAUAGAAAAAAAAAAAAAAAAAAGAAAUUUGAGAGGAAAAAAUUAUUUAGGAUUGAGUUAAUUUUUCUAACACGUUAAAUAAGAGUUUAUUUUACAGUAAUUUUAUAAAAUAUUUUUAGUAUAAAUAUUGUUUUUAAAAAAAAUAAAUAAAUAAAUAAAUAAGUAUUUGAUAAAAUUUAGGAAAUAUUUUUAAAAAUCUUAAAAAUCAUUUGUAACUUAAUAAAAUAACUUAUUUAAUAUUUUGGGUAUAACAUAUAUACACAUUGUUUCAAAAAAAAAAAAUGGUUAGGGACUAAAUAGUAAACAGUGAAAUAGGAAAAAAUGUUUAGGGACUAAAUAGUGAAAUAGGAAAAAAAUGUUUAGGGGCUAAAUAAUGAAGUAGGUAAAUUUUUUAGGGUAAAAAACCCUUCUUUCGCGCCAGGUAGGGGUCGAACCUACGACUUUCUGCUUAGGAAACAGACGCUCUAUCCACUGAGCUACAGGCGCUUCGAUGUCGUAAUAAUUUUUUUAUAUAUAUAAUCUUAAUUUUAUCCUUUUAUUUUAGACUCUUAAAUUUUUUUGCAAUAAAAUUUAAUUACACCAUUGGAAAAUAAUAAAUAAAUCUCAUUUUUUUAUUAUUUUUUUCUCAUACAAAGAUUAAAUAAUUUAAAUUAUAUUUAAUAUUAUUUUAUAUUUUCACCAAAAUUCAAAUUAGAAAAUCAAUUCUUUUAAUUUUUUAUUUUUCUUAAUAUUUUUUUAAAUCAAUCAUAACUUAAGCAUGUCAUAAAAAUGAAAAUAACAAUGAAUAAUAAAACCACAUUAAAAAUGGGUUUCGUUAGAAUGAAAAUGAAUUUUUUUAAUUCUCCUUUUUACUUCUAAAAAUAGCAGAAAUAUAAAAAUCGACAAUAAAUGAAAUGAUUCUUAUUUUUAUUUUUAUUCUAAAAUUCCAAAUCUUGUUCAAAAAAGUCCACAAUCACUCCAAACUUAUAAAUAUAAAGUUAAUUUUAAAAACAAAAAACAGAAUGUUAUUUUUAAUUAUCUUUGCAACAUGUGUCGUAGUUUUAACUUUAUUUUCUAGAAGUAAAAAAAUAAUGUCUUACAAAUUAAUACAUGAGAAAUUGACCAUAUGAUUUCAUAAUUAUAAAAUCUAAUUAAAUAGAAAAAAUUAUGUAAUUUAAAAAAAAAAAAUUUCUGAUGUGUUAUGUUUUAAUUAAAAUUAUAUUUCUUCUAUAUGGUCUUUUUUUUUGUAAUUUAUUUAUUUUCAAUAUAUUUGAUUGCUAUCUCCAAAAACUUGAAAAAGAAACCAUUUUUCAAACAUAAAUUUAAUUAUAAUAUGUAGUAAAGGAUAAUAAAAUUAAAGCGUAGUUUUUUAAAAAAUAUUUAAUAAAUAGGUCUGAAUUUUUCUUCAAUUUAAAUUAUGAUAAAUUAUUAAUGAUAAUUUUUUUUAAUAAAUUGAGUUUUCAUAUAAGAAAACUAUAAAUUACAAUCCUAGCUUGGAAAUACAAAUCAAUUCAAAGAAACUCCUAAUCAACAAGUUAACAACUUAAUAAAAAUAAUAGAGAAAAUCAAAUACGAAAAUAAGUAAUAUGAAACAUGUAAAAAAAAAAUACCAAAGAAAAUUAAAUAGAAUUAAAAUUAAUGAAAAAUUAAUAUAAUUUAAAAUUAUUUAAUUUUAAUAUAAAAAUAAAUAAAUAAAAUAAGUCUAAAAAAAAUAUAAAAAUAAUUUAUUUUUUUUAAUUCUUUUUUUUUUCUUUACUUUUCAUCUCUAUUUUCUUUGGAAACCAAAGAACAUUGAACCUAGGUUGAAUUAACCAAUAUGUAAUUUCAUAAUAAAGGUAUUGGUUCCGUGUAGUGUGAGAAAGGUAUCUAAGAAAAGAAAAUUUAGAGUGUGUUUGACAAUAAUUUUGAUAAAUGUUUCUAACAUUUUUUAUGAUUGAAGAAUAAAUAUUUUCAAGUGUUAGAAAAACUAAAAAUAUUUCUAAGAAUUAUUGCCGAACGCACUCUUAGAUUUGUUUGAAAUCUAUUUUUUGAAAAUAAGAGAUUGUUUGGUUAUGUGAUUUAAAAAAUGGUUUUCUGUUUUUGAAAACAAAAAACUGUUUUUAAAAAAUUCUAAUAUUGUUUGACCAUUGUUCUCUAUUUACAAUUUUUUAAAUAGAAAACAAUUUUUAGAGAAUUAAUUAAUGUUAUUUUCAUCAAUUUUUUAAAACAAAAAGAAAAUAUGAGUUCAUUUUAUUAUGUUUUCUUAAACUAGUAAGUUGAAGAAUAAAAACAACUUUUAAAAAUAAAUUUCCAAAAACAUGCCCAUAUGAACCCUAAUUUUUGAAAAACAUACUCUACAAACCUAUCUUUUAAGAAUUUAUUCUAAAAUGUACUAUUUUUCAAAAAUGAAAAUUAGGUGUUUUUGGUUAUUAUUUUUGUAAAAUAUUUUAUGUAAUAAUUAAAUAUAUGAAAAAUAUUUUGAAAACUUUUACCUUCUACAUAAUAAACAUGUAACCGUCGUACACUUAUAAAAAAUAAGUCGAGAAAUUUGUUUUUAUAUCUGAAUUUGAAGCAGAAAUUUGUUAUGGGUGGCAAUCAUUCACAUGAAAACUUAAGGACUUAUUAGCCAAAGGACAUGCAUGAGCUUAAUAAUAGAGUCAAAACUAUUUAGAAGGCAAGCAACCACCCACCUCUAUUGUCUUUACCUCUUUUGUGGCCUGCUUCCAUUAAUUAAUUAAUUAAUUAUAUUCUUCUUUAAUUUUAAAAUUAAUUUAAAUAAUUAUUUGAUGUGACAUUACUCAACCCAACUAUAAAAGAUUAAGAGAUCAGGUCGAUAAUAUGGUUGUUGCCACCUUUUAUUUUUAUUUUUUUUUCAAAAGGCUAGGGGCGGUGGGGGUGCUUUCUUCCAAAUUGAUAAUAAUAAUAAUAAUAAUAAUAAUUAAAUAAAUAAAAAUUGGAGAAUUUGAGUAAAAUGUAAAAUAUUUUGUCAUAAUAAUAUUUCACAAAUAUUUUUAAUUUUGAAAAAGAAAAUAAUUAAUUAUUACUACUACUGCAUUUAUCUAAAAGCAAUCCCUUCUAAUCCCAUAUUUAUAAAUAAAAAAAAUUGAAAAUUUUGAUUAAAAAUAAAUAAAAAAUAAAAAAGGAAUGUUGACACCUACUACACCCACAUGCAUAAAGUUGAUUAUUGGAAUCGAAAAGGAAAGGAAAGAAGAGAGGCCAAAAAUUGGGUGUGAGGCUCCAUCACGAAAAUGACCCAAAACCCUUACUUUUUUGUAAUUUUUUUUUUUAAAGAAUCCAUACUAUUUAUUAAUAUCCUUAUACUAAUUUAAUAGGAAAUUAUGGAAUAAUUUCUAAAAAAAAGGCUACUUGGCUUGGAUCCACAUACUUUGAUUUUUCAGGGCUGUGGUACAAGGACACCACUUCAACAUCACAACAAAAGGAAAAUGAUGUUUGUUUGUCUUUUAGACCAUCCUCUUCACAGGAUUCCUUCUACCAAACUGGGGACAUUAAUAAAGUGGAAACCCUAGAUCAAGGUCGUGAAUUAACAGAAAGCUAUGAAGAUUUUGAAAGAUAAAUUGUAAUCAAAUCUCUUUAAAAAGAUAUUUUGUCUCAUAGUAGCCAACUCAAGUUUCCUAACGGAACUUUUGUUACUAGGUUAGUCGUACAAUUCACAUGUUUCUAGCAAUUCACGUAGCAUCAUCAAGCGAUACAAGUCUCGAAUAAGAAUCUACAACACGCUAAAUUGCCCUUGUUGAUGAUCCUUUACUAUGAUAGCCUCUAGGGUUUUCUAAAACGGUAAAACUUCCGUUACUAAGUUAGUUGUACAAUUCACUCACAUGGGCGAUUCGUAUAGUAUCAUCAAAUGAUACAAGUCUCGAAUAAGAAUCUACAAUAGCACGCUAAAUUGCCCUUGUUGAUGAUCCUUUCACUCUAAUAGCAUCAAGGGUUUCUAAAAUUGUAAACCCUUGUCAAUAAGCAGAAACCCUAGAUUGAUCUAUCUCAUGAGUUAACAAAAGUUAUGGAGAUUUUGGAAGGCAACUGUAAUUUGCAAUAUCCAAACAAUAAAACCAUCUUCAUAAGCUAUGGCUGAAUCAAAGACCUACAUGUUUUGGACAUUAUUGGUACGAUUGUAUAGGGUCUGCAGCUGAUCCUGGACGGUUGUGUGUGUUUGGAAGUGAAUACCAAAAAGCUGCUUCCAAGCGAAGACAACAGGUACAAUGAGCAGCCCCUUUUUCAGGAACAGUGGCUCAAGCUCAAAGCCUCAAACACAUUGUCAAGUAUCAAAGCUAGAUGUGAACAAAAUGACACGUAUUUGUGUGUUAGGUGUAUGUGAACAUGGACAAAUGGGCCUGCAGGAAAGUGGAUCCAAGCCAAGCAUAAAGGCGUUCACACAUUGAAUAUCAACCAAGCUGCAAUUAUCUUAGGGUUUAAGCAAGCAAGCAAGUAAAGAUGGAUGAGAGCAGCAAUCCAGAAUGGAGAACUUGAGUAGAACUUUUUAUUCAUUGUCAAUGGGACAGCUAAAGAACUCAAUCACAUAUGGAAUCACUUCAAGACUACAUGCAAACCAGAAUGAAUCAUGAAACUAUGGACGGGAUUUGUGAGUGACAACAGAUUAUUAUUUACACAAUAAUCCUAUAUUACCCACACUAGAACCACUAGCUAAAACCCUAAUAAGAACAAACAGAACAAGGGCAGGCAGCAGAGAGCACGACAAAAAAAGGUGUGAGAUAGGAAAAAUUAUCUGAAUUGCAUGAAUUGAACCUGAAAAUGAAUGGUGGUGGGACUUGUACAGAUGGGUGGAGGGAGGAGGAGGUCAUGGCAUGUAUUCAUUCUCAAUGAUGGGUUGCGUUCGGGUCACCAUUGCAGCUGGCGCUUUGGUGUUCCCAACAGAGGUCAUCCGCAAGGCUUCCCCCACCUCUGCCGCCUUCUCCAUCUGCUGCAUUUUCUUCCUACGCUUGUACUUCCGCAGCCACAAUACCAAGAACGCCAACAAAACCAACAAUGCCAAUCCACCAACCACAGAACCAACAAUUAUCCAGACCUUUGAAGUUCCCCCCUUUUCUCCACCACUCGGACUAGGAACAACACUUGGUGGUGGGGAAGGUGCUGGUGCAUUGGACUCAACCACAAUACCAAAAUGACCCUGCUGUGCCGUUGAACAUAUAUUUCCCGACACUGCAUUGCUAAAAUUAGGGAAACCAUCCAAAUCAAACCAAACACACUUUGCAACUGAACCAGCAGGCACUGAUGACACACCCUGGAACUUGAUUGAUAUCGGUUUGUCAGAUGCAUUGAUAUGCAAUUCUGGCAAAUUCGUGGCUGAUAAAUUCGAAGCAUCAUACGGAAGAAGACCUAAUACAGGAGCCAAAUAGGCAUAGCCAGGUAAUGGAUAAUACACCGAAGACAAGUUGCCUAAGUUUUGGUACACAAAAAUUAGCCUCUCAACAUAGGGGGUAACAACAACUCCUUUGGGAAUCUCAAACUCUUUGUACAUCGUAACACCUCUACUUCUCAAACUACCACUCCUCAACCUCAAUGCAGAAAUGCCAAUUCCGGUUAAAUUCAGGGGAACAGCACCAUCGUAUGGGAUCCCGGUUUUAGGCUUGUUAAGAGCCUUAAAAGCCUGGUAUGCGUAGUCUUGGAGGAGGGCAUCCAAGGCCCGUGCAGAGCCAGUAGACUGAGCUCCGACAUCUGACAACCAUGGCAACCAGAAGAAAGCCACAAGCAUCAAGAGACCUGGAGAAAUCCCCAGCCCCAUCGAUGCUUUUCUUAAAACUGAGAUUCAGCACAAUGUCACUCAAUCAAACCACAGAAUUAUGCAGCAAAAUUCAGAUCCAACACACAAACAAUAGGUAAAAAAAGACCCGGAAAAUUAAGCAGUAGAGUCAGUGUGAAGCUUCAUUGCGCAUUGAAAAAGAUACUUAUCUCACAGUUUAAAGCAGCUUUGAAGCUGGUAACCGUUGUACACACCUUUGGAAUCCUUCAAAAAGAAUAAAGACCCGCGAAUAGGAAUCUUUCCAGCAUUCUCAGUCCUUCAUCAAACAAAUCAUAAAUCUAAUCCCAAAACCCUAAACCCACAAAAACCCAGGACCUAGAUUCUGAUUCUGCUCUUCUGGGAUGUGGGUUUACGAUGCAGAGUAAUAAUGCUACCUGAUCCGGACAACAAACCUCAGAUUCCAACUCAAGCACCUGAGAACCCUCCCAAUCUGAGAAAUCCCAUGUGACAAAACCCUCAAAAUCCUGCUACAUAUUAUCAAUGGAAGAAGCUCAAAGCCCUAGAAGAUUGAAGCUCAAGAGGCCUGCAUUUUCCGGGAAAAUGAAAGAAUCCGAAUGGAAAAGUGGGAGAGGGUGCAUAUGGGGUUAGAUUUGGGGUGGAGAUUGGUGGAUUGUGGAGAUAAGACUCUGAAAAUGGGCACCAAAGAGGAAGGUGGGGAGACGAUGAGAGAGAGAGAGAGAGAGUGAGAGAGGAGCAAAUCCUCACACUUGAUAUGUGCCAGAGAAAGAAAGAGAGAGAAAAACCAAAAGAAAAGAAAAAGAAAGAGAUUUACAGAUGUGCAAAACACUUGAUUAACCCCCAUUCACAUGCACAUAUUUCUUAGAUUUUUCUCUUCUAUCCCUUAGCUUCCUAUCUAUAGACACCACAGUCCCCACUCCUGCUGUCUUCCUCCCUUCCCCUUUUGAAAAUGUAUAAAGAAUUUAUUUUCUUUCCCACCUAACACUUGGGGUUUAUUCACUUUAAGUUUAUUUUUUCUAUUUUUCCUCCCCCAUUUUCUUUUAAAUCUUGGAAUUGAACUUUCUUUAAUAUUUUUCUAGAAUUAAACAUAACUGAAGAGAGCGUGACUCAAUUUCUAAAAAUGAUUUGUCCUAAAGUAUAUCUCAUUUUUUUUUUCAUCUUAUAAAGUCUUAUCCUUUAUAUUUAAAUUUCAUUAUUUUAUAAAUAGAUUUUUUUUAUAUUUUAAUCUCAUUUAGUCUGUAUUUUUAUUUAAUGAUUCAUGUUUAAUUAUUCAUAUUAAGAGCCUGAAAUUUAAAUUUGAAUGAUACUAAAUUCAUAUCUUAGAAUUUGUCUUCAUUCAACUCUUACUUUUUCUCUUUUUUUUUUUCCAUUAUAUAUAGGAUGGGCAACUUGAACGAAGUCGUCCGAUUAAUAGCUAAAACAAGUAUAAUCUAAACUAAGAAAUAAUCAAAUCAAACUCAACCUAAUAUUUAAUUAAAGGUAUUCAAUCCAAGUCCAACUCAAUUUAAUCAAGUGUCAAUUUAAUCGAGUGUCGAUGAGGUUUUAUUAUUUAAAUCAAUCAAAGUAUUUUUUUUUUAAAUUUAUUUAUUUAUUUAUUUAUUUAUGGUAAUAUUUAAAUAGUAAAUAAGAAAAAAAAUAAAAUAACAAAAAAAUAUAAAAAUAAACUUAUAUAUCCUUUUAAAAUAGUGAAAACAUAUGAUAUAGUUAUAAUUUAAUCUAUAAAUAAAAUAAAUAUUAUUAUAUAAGAUAAUAAAUAUUAUGAAAAUAUUAAAUUUGAGUUAGAAUUGAAAAAACUUAAUCAAAACUUAACUCAAAUAUUGAAAAUAUUUAUCUAAACUCAUCCAAAUAUCAUUUGGAUUAGUCGAAGCACACCUAAGUUGUAAUAGUAUACAUCCAAAAUUUAAAUUUUAAGUUUGAUAUGGCAUGGUGGUACCCAAAAUUUCCCCUUAAUUAUGGAUUGGCUGUUUUGGAAAAUACAUAAUUUAGUAUAUUUAAAUUUAAAUCUUAUUAAAUUAUAGUAGUUUUUGAGGUAUUUGAAUUAAAAAUGGUAUUAUUAUUAUUAUUAUUUUGAAAAAAAGAAAGUAUAUAACAAAUAAAAAAACGCUGCCUAGCUAAAAAUGAUCAUAUAAUAAAAUAGGUUUGAUUUCUUUCUAUUUUUGGGAUAUUCUUUUUUAUUUAUUUAUGUUUUUUUAUACUUUAUUUUUUUUCUGUCUUAAUCUCGUAAUUUCAUGUUCCAAUUAUGUAACCGACUUUUCCUUUAAUUAAGCAAUGAGUAUUGAUUUGGAAGAUUUAAAUAUAUUUAUUUAUUUAUUUAUUUCAUUUUCAGGAUCUUUGAGAUUCAUUUUGAUUUUCCUUUUUUAAGUGUGGAAUCUUUUAAAAUCAAAUAAAAUAUUGGGAUGCCCUAAAAGAUAAUGAGUAGGACUAAUACAACAUAAUUAUUUUACAAAAUAAAUAUAAAUUCAAAGAAUUAAAUUAGGGAAAAAAUUUGUGGGUAUAUAUAUAUAUAUCUCCAAAACUUAUGUUUCAAUUAAUAUUUUUUAUUUUUAUUAAUAAUAUAAAUAAUAUUAAUAAUUAAAAUAUUUAAAUUUUAUAAAUAAAUAAAAUUAUAUUUUUGAACCAAAAAUUAAUUUAUUAAUUGAAAUAUUUUGCUCCAUAGAAUGACUAAGAUAACAAAUAAUUUAUAACUCAUAAAAUAUGUAUAUUUUACCUAUGAGAUUAUUAAAUUUCAUGUAUCAAGGAUACAACAAAGAGAAUGAAUUCUCAUCUCAAAUCUUAUUUUAUUCCUUUUGUAUUUUUUUUUCUCAUAAAACUUAUAAAAUUUUCGGUACUUAUGAAAAGAAUAAAAAGUUUGGUAAUUAAAGUACAAAAGUUAGAAUUUUGUUGAAUUCGGUCCACACAAAUCUUUCUUAUUAUAGAAGAGUAAAAUCUAAACAUCAUAAUAAAAUAUUCUCACAUUAUUAUAGAAGUUUCAAUACAUUAUUUGGGUACAUCAAGUCAAAGUAUGCACAAGAGACUUAUUAUACAAGACUAAAAUCUUAAUAUGAUAAUGUAAUAAUGCAUUUCCAAGAAGGGUUAUUCACGGUUAUUCAUACGAUGGUAAUAAACUAUUAUAAAAGGUAUAAUCUACUCUUAUUAUAAAUUAAUUGAUUUUUAGAUGGGAUAGUCAAAAUCCUAUUCAAUAAAUGGUAUGAGAGCCAAGGUGGUAGAUUCACUCUCAGAGCGUUCUAGUAUGGAAGGGCUCUCAGGAUGCUCCAUUUUAUAACGAUAUUUUCAAAAUUUUUAUAAUAUUAAUUAUUCACUAAUGGGGUUAUUGAAAAAAAAAAUGAAGACAUGUUAAAAAUGAAAAGAAUGAUGACAAUUUGUGAAAGAUUUAUAGACAGGGAAUUAUAAAAAUGAGAUUAAUAUAUUAGAUUGUUAUGUUCAAUCCAAUAUCAAAUAUGAUCCAAACAUUAGGUCGAACUCGAGCAUGGGCUGACCAUAUUAGGGUUAGGUUUAAGACUUAUCUUUGAUCUUUAUAUUUGUAUGUUGGACCAAAUAUCAAACUCGACCCAAUCACUAGGUCUAUUAUAUAAUUAUGCCUUUAUACUCAACAUAACUUAUCUAGGCCUUGUUUUCAACUUAUUUACACCUUUCUAUUUUACAAAAAUAGAUAUUUAAGAUGAAAGACGACAUUGACUUAGGUGGUGUUUGUUUUUUUACUUAAUUCUAAAUAGAACCUUAAUACUUAAUAGUAUUAAAUAUUAGGUUGUUUGUUUUUGUAGUAUUUUAUUUCUAUUAAGUAUUAAAAAGUAAAAAAAACUAUUGUGUUAUUUUUUCUAUUUAGAAAAAGUCACAUAUUUUGGCUUUUUCUAUUUAGUAAAAAGUUUAUAAUAAGUCGUGAAAAAGUAAAAAAACAAACAACCUAAAUUCUAAAACUAAAUGGUUUUCAGUAAAAAGCCAAAAAAACAAACAACACCUUAAUAUGUCUUUUUAUAGACCUAAUAUGGUAAACCUUAGUUCUAGUUCAUUCUUAGCAAAUAACAAACAUGGAAUGAUGUUAUAUUUUUAUUACUAUACUAUUCAUUAUAUCAUCGUAUAAACGAUAUCCUAAAAUUAACAUAAGAUAUUUAAUGCGGUGAAAUCACACCUAGUAUAAAACAAUUCCGAUUGAAUUCAAACUUGAUCAAAACAAAAUUCGAAUAUUCUUUUUAUUUUACACUCGUAAAUGUCUAAUAUCUUAAAAAAUGUUUAAAAUUCGAGAAAAAAAUAUUGUUAAAAUGAAUAAAAAAUAUAUUUAGAUUUAAAAAAAUAAUUUAAUUUGGUGGUAUAUGAUGUUACUUUUGACAAGAAUGAAAGUAUUACAUAUAACCUCAAUCUUAGUUGAUUUGAUAGAGUCAACAAAAUAGAUUGAUAAUCCUAACUCACAAACACAUCAAACAAAAAUUUCUCACUUAAAAAAAGAUUACAUUGGUUCAUGAAUGCAAAAUUGCUCUCUAUGGUCUUUCAAUCUUGCUAAUCCAAAUUCGUAUAAUCUUGAUUGAGCUCUAGGUUAAUAAUUAAUGACCAUAAUAAGAGAAAUAAAACAAAAAAAUGAAUCCAAAAAUGGAAGUUAAUGGCCCAAGACUUGGGAAGGAAAAGGGAUGAAUGGGAAGAAAUUCACCGGGUCAAUAAAAACGACGUCGUUUUACCAAUUCCAAAUCCAGCUAACCCUUCGUUGGCAACAUCAUUUUCUCUGGCACUGGCCUCUAGCCAUUGAUGGGGUCCCCAAAAAAUUCACACCUGAUUCCGCGCAUGCAGUGCACGUGUCAAGUGCUGGUAUAGAAAAGUCUCAAAGUUCACAGACAAUACCUCUCUGUAAAUCUCUCUCAGUAGUACCUCGGCCACUGUGAAAAUUUUGGCCUUGGUACCCAAAAGAUCCACUCCCCUUUCUCAAUUUCUUAUCAAUUUUUUUGAGUUCUGUUUUAUGGUUGAAAAUUCAGAAAAAAGUAUUAAAAAUUGGACAAAUAUAUAUAAAAAAAUAACGAAAGCCCUGCAAUUCCAGGGUUUGUUUCUGUAUUUGAAUCCCUUUUUGGGGUCUUGUUUGGUGUGGGUGUUUUCUGUGUCUUUUUUUUUUUCUUUUUCUUUGCUUUCUUCUUUCUCAGAAAGGAAAGGAAAGGGAAAAAGCUAUGUCAGGUCUGUACAAUCACAACUUCUCACCUGCAAGAGCGGUUUCUCCGCAGAUUAGAAGCACCCCGGAUGUGGACAGGUAGGGUUUUAUGGGCUGUUGCCAUCAGAGGAGGGGGGAAUGGGCUUUUGGUGGUGUGUCUGGAUGUUCUCUGCACUUGAUCGAUGUGGGUUUUUGGUUUAAUUUCUGAGUUUUUGAUGUUUCAUUUCUGGGGUUUUUGUUCUGUGUUUGUGUUUGUAGUCAGUACUUGUCUGAGCUUUUGGCUGAGCAUCAGAAGCUUGGGCCCUUCAUGCAAGUCCUUCCGAUAUGCAGCAGGCUGCUGAAUCAAGGUUUGUUUGUUGAGAUUUCACUGGAUUUUGGAUCUGGGUUUUGUGGGUUUUGUUGAUUCCGGCGUUAUUACUGCAUUACUGGGUAUAUGUGCAUGAAUGUGUUUGUUUCAUUGUUUAAGAGAACAGGUUAGAUCCAUUUUUUUGGUUGUUUACUUUCACCCACUUGGAUUCUACUGAUUUUAACAGUGAUUUAUCUGAUUUUGAUCUCUAAAUGAAAGUGUGAACAAUGGGACUAAUCUCCGUGAUCAGCAUAAUUCUCAAAAGAAGAAAAAAGGUGGCUUUUCUUGAAUUGCCCAUUUUUCCUAAACAAGUUGAAUAAAUAAGAAAGGAUUCAUUUAAUUUCCUUGAAUGAGAAAAUGGGUUAGUUUCAAUUAAUAGUGAAACACAAUGGGUUUAGACGAUUCCCAUGUGCUGUUUUAUGCAAUGACUGACAGAUGAAAACUUUAAUUUCAUUUCAAAAGCAUGCUGUGCAAAAUUUUUGACUGUUUAGUUCACAAUUUAUAAGUGGGUUAGUGCAGCAUGUGACAUUGACAAGAAUUUCCGAACCAUCCAAUUUAAAUGACUUAUAAUCUUUUUUUUUUUCUUUUUGUGCUUAUACUAGUCCAGUGGUGGAAGGUUGAUGCUUCUAAGGAGCAAAUUUGAGUUCAUGGAAGAAUUUGUUGGAAAAUCGAGUUUGAACUAAAUUUAUUUGGUGAAGAUAGCGGAAAUAAAGUUAAAAAGAUUUAAGAGUUUAUAUGUGGACUGAUGUUGACAGGUCAUGGAGUUUUGGUGUCUGCAACUUUGAUCAGGGUAGUGGGGACAGGACUAGUUUAGAAUCAAGAAUAGAUUUAUAAGUAUAAUGUUGAUUAAUGUAGGCGAUAAAGUGCUCUCUAGUCUGGAAUUUGAGAUUGCGAUUAAUUCGAUUAAUAUAAGAGGCAAUUGUAAUCUUGAAAUUAAAAAAAUGGGAUGCUGAAACCUCAAACAUCUAGAAAGCUGUUACUGUUAGGUCCUUUGCUUAUCAUAGGUUUGGGUGAACUUCUACUAAAUCAGUCUUGAUGAUCCUUGUUUGCAAUGUCAUUGUUUACUAAUUUCUGUUUCACAUAUUGAAAUGCUCUUUUGUUUGUGCAGAAAUUAUAAGGGUUUCUGGCAUGAUCUCCAACCAAGGUUUUGGUGACUUUGACAGACUGCAGCAUCGGAGCCCCAGUCCCAUGGCUUCUUCAAAUCUUAUGUCAAAUGUUUCUGGGACUGGAUUAGGUGGCUGGAAUGGCCUUCCUCAGGAGGUAAUUGUGUUUCCUGAUUUUUAAUUUUGCAUCUCAAUUCUGAUUGAUUCUUAAUAUUCUGUUCUUCUUGGACUGGAAAAUAUAUAGUUUCCUUCAUAUUUUCUGGUUCAAAUACUUACCUAAUCUUGUAAUGUGUUAAGUUUUCCUUGACUAUGAUCUGGGAUAAAUGAGGUGAACAUGGUUUGAGGUUCUUUCAUAAAAUGACUUAUGAACCUGAACUGUUUAAUCCUACUAACUAUUAAAUAUUGAGGUCAUUCAUUUGCCGUUUACGUGGCUCGCCUAACCUUAGUGGUUGACAACUUUUGUAAUCUUGUCUGUGGCGAGCAUAAAGGCUAUAUGACAUUACGGUUCAUUGACAAACUUGUGCAACUGUUGGUUUUAUUGGGAAUCUAAUUUGGAGUUUACUACAACAUCCCAUUAACUGCCCUCACCGACAGCCUCGUGAGCAUCACUAGGAGUUAGUCACCCCUGAGCGUUAUGUAUUGACUUAUUGACUUACUUUAAUUUUAGCCAAUUGGUUCUGUUGUGCAAAAAUAAUGAGCUGAUUAUUUUCUUAUCCUUAUCUUUUUUUCAUCCUUUGGUGUUCAUUGGGUGCUCCCUAGGUUAUUUAAAGAUAAUUUUGGCUAGUUGGAAAGGUGGGUUUGUUCAUAAGGGAAAGUGGAAAGUGCCCAAUAUCACACUAAGGUGUUUAUUUAGGUGUUAUGGUAGGGGUAUGUUUGGUAUGAAGUGGUCAUAAUUGCAACUGAAGAAUAUCUUUAUGAACUCUCUAUGUGUGGUAUGGUAGAUUUGUAGGGAUGGGAGACUAUUCUUUGAAAAUUUUUAUAAAUGUGUUAGGAUGUACAUAAGGUAUGAGGAGUCUGCCUAUGAUAACACUUAACACACACACACACACACACACCCCCAAACACUCACUCACUCACUGAGGGAAAAAAAAAAAGCCCGCACCACCACCAACAACAGAAGGUGUGAGGAUUCUUACUUGUUUACCUUUAUUUUUGUCUUUUCCAUGUGUUGGCUACUCAACACAUACUUCCGUUGUACCUGGUUGAACCCCUUUUCUGUUUGUUGCCUCUUAAUUUGAACUUCUGUUUAUCUAUCAGAAAAAAUAUAUAAAGAAAAACUGCUUAGAAUCCAAGUCCAGUUGGAAAAUGGAGUUAUUUAACUUUGGUCCCCUCUAUCAUCCUUUGAUCAAAUUCUGAGUGCUUGUCAUACUGUUAUUGGCUUUAAAGUUGUAUGUUCUAGGUAGAUGCUUGAUAUUAUAUGAAACAGGUUGGAUCCAUUAUCAUCCUUCUGAAACAGAAGUAAGCUAAUGGGUCAAGCAUCUUGCUGAUAUGACAUUAGCUUCUUGAGUACUUGUUGAUCAAUCUCUACUUGCAGUUGGCUGGAACCCUUUUCAACUCAGUUGAUUCCUCUUGCACAAACCUAUUGUUUGAGAUGCAUUUUUUUGGCAUUGAUGGUAGUAGACAGCUCACCUGGAGUAAUUACUUUCUUUAUUUUUGGGCUUUCUUUCCAAUUGUUACUUAGGCUCCACUUCUAAUUUUAUUUUUUUGAUAAGUGAAGGGGAAAAAAAAAGGUGGAGCCUAAGUAACAAUUGCUGAGGUGCUGUGCAAAAUCUGUCUAGGAAUAUGCUUAGUACCUAAACUGUGAAGAUAUCUCCUCAGUACAUAUGUUCUGUCAAGGGAUGAUAAAGUGUGCUUGUCUCAGAAAAGAUUAUUUUCCUCUAUGUGCUAAGUAAUUGCUGCUUCUAUAUGCAUUAAUAUUGUAUUCAAUGCACCUAAUUGCUUUUAUUUACUCUUUUGUAACAUGUUUAUCUUUCCUUUUCCUUUCUUUUCUUCCUCUUUCUACCUGGAUGCCCUGUUCAUACUUCUUUUGGGAAAUAUAUGAGCUAUUAUGUUAAUUUAACAUAUGGUAAUAAGCUCGGAUGUCUUAUCUUUAUAUGCUCUAUUGGUAAAAGAAGGCAGUGGGAUAAGGAUUGGGACCUGGCAAAUGUCUAAUUCCGUCUAUAUAAUUUGACAUGUAAAUAGAGUUGUACAAUGUUGUAAUAAUCCAUAUGAUUCAAUGUGAAUACAAUCACUAUGAAUGGAGUUAAAAGUUUGAUAAAGAUCUUCUGGGGUGGCUUCGUGGUUUUACUGUAACAACAAAGUAAAAGAAACAACUGAAACUGUUGAUUCAGUUGAGAGUGCUUCUUGCGCUUGGUGUAGCAAUUAGAACAGUAAAGGUUUGAAGUGUUCAGGAUAUAAAAAAGCUUUCAGACAAUGCUAAUUGUAAUAAAUGUACCUAUUAGAAAAGUAGAGAAGAUUUGAUGUGUUGAAAAGGAAAAAGCCUAAUCUAAUCUAGUAGCUGCUUUAAUUUUUCAUAUGUUUCUAGGUAAGAAAAAUUUUACAAUUAUACUUUACUAUUUACCUUAUUUCUUUAUUGAUACUUCAGUAGGUUGGUUCAACAUUCUGAGGCUUCAAGUUUUUUUAUUUAUACACUUUUAUUUUACCUAUUAAAAAAAAAAAAAAAAAAAACAGAAGGUUUCAAGUAGUUUGACCGAAAUGUUAAACUGGGACUUGUAUGUUCCAAAAGUGUUUUGCUUGCAGCUGUUUUUUCCCCCUUGCAUGUCAUCUAUAAUUUUCUUUCAAACUCAAUCCAAGUUUCUUAUUAAAUCAGAGAAGGCCAUGAACAUUUUUAAUCCAUUUAAAAAGAAAUAGAGAAGUUUGAAUCAAGUGCUCCAUAGAAAUGGAAAAGUACCCAAAAGGGGGAAAAAGGAAAAAAAAGAAAAAAACACUAGAGAAAGUUGCUCCAAAAUCAGUUUUGGUAUAUAUGAUAUCUGCUAUCCUGCUUGGUUCAGAUUCAUUCCUCUGUGAGUUUCUUUCUUGUCUUUUAUUGGGCACAUGAAAACUGAUGGUAUUCCAAAUAUAUUACUCAUAUGGUAACUUGAUGGAAGGAAUUAGCCUUAGUUUAAAAGGGAAAUAGGAAAUCUUGGCAUCUUACUCAAACCCAGUAUCCAUCAAGACUAGUAAAGUGCUUUAUUUUGAAAUUUCCAGAUGCUUAAAAUAUGAAACGAUAUUGUAAUACUCAAAUACCCCCUUGUUGAAAAUUCCCACCAGUGAUUAAUGCACGAAUGCAAAUUCACAAGAUAUAUGCAUGCUUGAUGUUUAGGUGUGAAUGAAUUUUCAAGCAUACCCUGAAUGGUGUGAAGGUGGAGGAGUUAAAACACAUGGAAUGGUGCUUUGGUUAGUGAGCAACCUGAGUUUUUCCAUGUCAUGCAAGCACACAGAGGUCCGAGCUUUUUGUUAUUUUGAUUCUUUUUAGUUGCAACAAAUUCACAACCAGGAAGUACAAAUUUGGAUAAUAUAAACUGUCUGAUUUAUAAUGACCUGAGAAGGGUUAUUGCAGGUUGCCAUGUGGUUUGAUAUGCUUGGCUAGGGCUUAUUGCAGGUUGUCAAGCUGUUGUUGGUUUUCUAGUGUUUCUGGGCAAAUGUUUAGAUGUCCCAUGUCUGUUGCUUGUUUGAAUAGUACUACUGAUCCUGGCAGUCUAUGACUGUUCUUAUUCAAAUAACUACUACAAAAUUGUUUAUCAUCUGGUCUAUUUAUCUGAAAUCCUCAUGCACUUUUUUUUUCAUUUCUUCUUUGGCUUUUUGAUAUGUGAUAUUAUUAAAUUUUUGAGCAUCAUCUAAGCUAAUAUAACCCUUCUUUGCAUAACAGAGAUUAAGUGGGCCACAUGGAAUGAC